rnacentral:lncRNA from 1 species
AGGUGGUACUAUGGGAUUCGACUUGAUGGUCUGAUAUAUGAAUCUCUCUAUCUUAGCUGCUAUGUCUUUCCAACCAGAAUUCAAAGUUAACUCUGGGAUUAUAAUCACUGACCUCCCUUCUCCCUUCAGUGAGAGAAUACUCAUAUAUCUUCCAUGGGUGUUAAAUUUCCUAGUGCAGAAAUGUUCUGUCAAUUGCUCCUUGUACUUCCAUCUCUUCACUAGAUUAUUUUGAUCUGUCGACGCUUCUUUAAGUGUAAAGCAUAUCCAUUCCAUUGCCUUUCUACCCAUGGAUGAUCUUCUCAUCAUGUUGCGGCUUCUCUCCACCCAUUCAAACCAAAUGUCUUUAUUGGAGUUCCAUCUGGUGAUGUCAAAAGAUUUGAAUCCUGCGUUGAAAUAUAUCCUGUUGUCUCCCAUAUUGUACAAAACAACUGUUCAGGUUCUGGAAUUUUAGGGGUUGUUUAGAAGUUAUCACAGUGAGCUUUAAAGCUUGACAAAGAAGAAAAGAACCCGAAAUUUCUGAACAGAGAAAGGUUCCCCGCCACCGGAAAAAAUAAAAGUUGUCGGAAUUCAGAACUAAAUGUAUGGAUGUGCUCGGAAUUUCCCAGCGAGUGUUCUGUCCAAAACGAAAAUUUUGAAAAUUGGCCGGGGUUGAGCUCACGCGUCGGCGCGUGGGGUUUGCCUCGCCGGAAAAGAGCCGCGCGUGGCGGCGCGUGCGGGGUUGUUUGUCGGAGCUGUUUUCAGAGGGUCGGUCGGAAUUGAAUAUCCGUGCUAAUGGUGUUUAUGGAUUCUCAAGAUUCCUUUUUCUCAGGCUCCUCGGGGAGUGUGCCUGAGAGCUCAAAGAAAGUAGAGAGAGAAAUUCUGUUUUAUGAUUUCUCUCCAGAACAUAGUACAUGCUUGUUUUAAAGGUUGAGAAUAUUGCAAAGUUUUGGGCCAAUUUGGGCGGGUUGGGUAACAACCCAUUGUUUAGCCCAUCUUGACCCAGCCCAUCUUGACCCAAGUGAAAUUUGGACAGGGUUGGGCAAUGACCGAUUUAAUGAGGCAACCUAUCUUGACCAGCCCAAAUAGCCUAUUUGCCACCCCUAGUCAAAACUCUUAAGUAGUCAAUCUGUUCAAAACUCUUUUAAGUUGUGAAUGCUUUUAAGUUUCUUGUUCCUUCCAUUAUCUCAAUUGAUUACUACCAGAAGACAUGUGUUGCACCUAACUUGUAAUGAAAAAUUCAAAAAUUAUGACUUACCAGAUUUUUUGAAUAUAAAAUGUCUUGUCUGAAUCAGUUUAUUCAGUUAAUGACUUAAACGAUACAUUGCAAUCAGAAGAUAAAUCAAAUUCCUAGUGAGUGAUUAACAAACUGUAACAACUUUCCAUAUACAGAUAACUAAUUCCAAUUUCACCCUAAUAAUAGGGAAUUGUACUUUAAUCAUUCUUCAGGGGAAAAUAAGGGCAAAAUCCAAAAACUAAUAUAAGUAGAAAGCCUUUAAACUCCAUAUAUAAUCAGCUAUUGCCAUGCAAAAUGGGGCAAGGUUAGGACAAGCCAGCUGGACGGACUGAAAAAUUGCACAACUUUUGUAUCUAUAAUAUAAUUUUAAGUUGAACCAAUGCUCUUUCAUCAUUCCAAAUGCCAAUCCCCGAAUAUAUACACGACGGAAAUUUAGCUGUUCUAUACGAGUUUGGUUAUUUUCAAAAUGAAAAAUAAAAAUCUAAAAGUUUUAUUUAUGUAUUAUAAAUCUACAGGUGCAGAUUUUUGCUAACUAAUAGCCAAUUCUGAAGAAUCAGUGCCCGCACCCAUUCAAUAAAGGCAUUUCAAGCCAAGUGAAGGAUCCAUGUAAAUAGUAUAAGAUCAUUUCCAUUUAGGUAUUGCCAUUUUUCACUCAUCAAGAUUUAAGGAUCAUUCAAUUCAGAGAUGAUUUCUUCUCUCAUUUUCUUCAAUAGUUUCUAUUGCACACAACCCUCUAUGGUGCCAUAUAUUGAGAAAGAAGAAAAAACCAUAUUUGAUGUUAUAUUUGGCACAUUUUCUCAUUUUGGGGGGGAAUUAGAAAACAUUGAAUGAUUAUACUUCAAAAAAUUUCCAUCCCUUAGCUUUAUUGAUUUCCCUGUGGAAAUUGAAAAUUUUAUCCUCAAAAGUGGUGAGAUUUCCAACAAAAAAAUAGUAAAACAGCAAAUCAAUAUUUAUGUGCUCAUAAAAAUACCUGAAAGAGCUGUCUUACAAAUGAGGUAGCAUUACACAUUGAGGGUAAAUUUCAAUAUGGAAACUGCAAUGUUUGACAACAAACGUGGAAACUACAAAUUUGAAUCAAGCAAGACCUUUGUCAUCUCUAUAAGACUAUAAUACAGAAAUGGCACUUGAAGUUCUCUAAGCCAAAUAAUUGUAAUCUGACAGGGAACAAAAUAAGGGUAGUCGAUGACUGGUAAAGAGAGGAUUUUUACCAGACUGUUGUCAACUAAGCAUCAAAACACAUAUUUUAUCAAUAUCAGAAGAUAUUGCAAUUUGCAACAGCUCCAAUGAUUUCUAUACUAGCACUGGAAAGACGAUCUUAGUACCCGCUGUUAAAAGCAUGAGCAAUACCUGAAUGCUAUCAAUAGCGCUGAGAAGUAGCAACUGUGUGAUGCAUUUGCUCCUAAUAGUAGCCAACAUUGAACUUUCAUCCUCAUCUCUUGCCUCAGGCUCCGUAUCAUCAGCUAAUAACUAUACAUCAGAUAGAGUAGUAAACAGCAGAAACAAAUCAAAAUAACAGAAAAUGAUAUACCCAAUCGAAGUGUAAAAUAGCUAAGCAAACAAGUUACUAUUGCAUUGCAAUAACAAAUGUAACAAACAUAUUCACCUUUUAUAAUACUUUCUUGGAAUGAUGAAGAUACAAGAAAGGAUAUCAAAUAAGACAUCCACUGGAAGUAUUCCCCUUAGAAAAUGUGAGAAAAGAAAAACAAAACACCUUUGGCAGGAUACUUCUUGAAACAUUAGAAUCAUCCUCUUUUUGAUAAGAAAGGAUAUCAAUAUAACAAGUACUGUUAAGAAGUUUCCUGAUUGAAUAUCGUAGUUUGACUAGAGAAAAAAAUCUUGAUUAAUGCAGUAAACGGAACAAUAGCCCUUUGUAUUAUAAGAGUAUAUUAGUAAGUAAAUGACAACUUAUUUGCAAUUUUACAGAAAAUCUUACUAUUAACCAUCACAUAACACAUCAUACUGGUAUCGCAUGUGAGCUUCGAGUUAACAGAGACAGGUCUGCAUACAUGUGCAUUAACAUAGUGACCAACGAAAACCUGAAUUGUGUACUUAAUAUGUUGUUAAGUUCAUACAAAAGGGAUUUCUAAUUUGAGAAUUCUAUUAAGAGAAACCUCAUGGGCUCCAUUGUUCACUGGAUUUUGACAAAUAAACUUUUUUCUUAAACAUUUCCAAUUUACAUACAACAGUGAGGACAGCAAAUUAGCCCAAAAUGACGCAAUACCUUUGAUGGUGAAGUUGGCAAAUUAUCAGAAGCCUGAAUUUUUGGUUUAGAAGUGAAACUUCUGAUGAAGCGGUUGUCCAUCAUAUUUCCCAUAAUUUUCUGUCCUAUUGUUUGACUACGCUCAAGACCUUCUGGAACAGUAGGUUUCUCUAAUCUCCCAGAAGGUGAGGGCAUACCUAUAAAGACAUUUCUCUUUAAUUAUUUGCAAUAUAAUUCCAUUAGGAAACAAUGAAAAUGGAUAAUUUCCUCAGUGGCAACCUCCUGUUUCAUCCAAAUCAGCACGGGAGUCCGUUCCACGAUUGUCGUCCAGCAAGUCUGAUGAAUGGCCACCACCAUUUCCAUUUUCAGCAAUGUUAUGCUGAUAUUAUCCAAUGACUCAAUAUUAGCAAAAGUUGGGGAUUCAUUAUCAGCAGUUAUGAUCUCUAGAUUUCUUACCAAUACUGUAUGAUGCUUUGAGUUCUCAAAACCCAAAUCAUUGAGAAGUUCAAGGGGUUGCGUUGCAUAUGAAGCAUUUCUGGUACAUACAAUAGACCAACUAUAUCAUGAGCACAAAAUAGCCAACCAGAAAGAAUAAAGAAAGAUCAGACAACUUAAGAAAAGUGGAAUUGCACCUGAUGCUCUCCAGCAAGGUAUCCCAAUCAUUGUAACUAAAUUGGUGUCCACCAACUUCAAUAAGAUGCACUAAUGCACCAAGAGAGAUGGCAACUACAGACUGAUCACUUUUUUGGGCACAAUCUAACAGCAAACCCAGCAGUGGGGGAAGCAUGAAACACACAUUCUACAAGAAAACGCUCAAAUUUCAAAAGUCAGAAAAUAGAGAUAGCAUGCUUUAGUAAAGAAUAUCACAUGAUCAAUUCCACAGUUCUUCCUCAUAAAAGAAAAGGGCAUAAAAAAUGUAUAUCAUACAUUGAAUUGUGGAAAAAGAACCAAAUACCAGUCUGCUGUUUAACAUAAAACAUAAUCUGCUGUUGUAGGCUUGUACUAAAUCGAAAUGUUAUUUACACUGUUGUAUAUCUUUAAAAUAAGACCUCAGAAUGUAAAUAAAUUACAAAUGAUCUGUAUGCAAAACACACAGCAGUAAACCUAAACAUGAGACUCCUAAACAAAUUUCACUAUAGGGAAUGAACUGCAACAUAAAUAACAGAGGAUUUGUGUGCACAAUACACAUCACAGUAUACUUUCAAGUUUCAACAUGAGACACCUAAUCAAAUACCAAUAUUUGGUAUGAACUGCAACAACAACAGAGUCAGAGGCAACAAUUGAGAGCUCAAGUAAACUGAACGGCAAGUUCUAUAGAAAAGUUAUAAAACCAACCAUGUUAUACAGGAGUGAACGUUGGGCCUCUAAAGUCCAACAUAUCCACAAGAUGAAUUGUCGGAGAUGCGGAUGCUAAGGUAGAUUGGUCAUACAAUAUUUGAGAAGAUUAAAAAUGACCACAUUCGGUAGAAAGCGCAAGUAGCACACAUUGAGGAAAAAAUGACAAAUGUUGCUUGAGAUGGUAUAAUGUUAAGGUCCCGCGAUAUAGAUCGUGUCAUAGUGAUUAGCUGCCCCUUUUUCCUUAUUUCGAUUCCUUAAUCUACCUAUUGUGAAUAAACAAUCAAACUCGUCGAAGGGAGUUUGAAACCCUAGAGCUCGUUCGGAAUAACUCCAAUCCUCUGUAGUUCUAUGAUAAAAGGUGGCUCAGGGUUUUAUUCCUUUCGUUUCUGUUAAAUAGGACUAGACUUAUAAGUUAUUAUUACAAGAGUAGGAAACUUAUAAUUUAAGCUUCAUAAAAACAGAAGUACGUAGAGAAACCUAUUCUAGAAAAUAAUUAAACAGAAAAUAAAUAACUACUAAAAUAAGAGACCUAGGCCUAUUGAAAUACUGAAUUCACUUAUUGCGCCUAGCAUAGACACGUCCCACAAAUGAGUCUAUAACAUCUCCCUCCUCCGGAAGAAAGAACUUGUCCUCAUGCGCAAAUUCAAGAUAAACUUGUCGAAACUGGUCUACACAUUCCCAAGUAGCCUCAGUUGCAUCCAAACCAGCCCACUCAACCAAAACUUCCCAUGUUCCACGGUUAAGGCGAGCACGCAAAACAAAGCCUGGGGUUGGCACAACCCGACCAUCAGUUGUAGGAGGUAAUGCUAGUGUAGACGCAUGUGCUGCACCUUUCAAAGGCUUAAGAAGAGAAACAUGAAAAACAUUAUGAAGCUCAGAAUCUUCAGGCAACUUUAACUCAUAAGCAACAAUCCCAAUGCAUUUCAAAAUUUGAAAUGACCCAUAAAACUUGGGAGAAAGUUUGUGGUGAAGCUGACCAGCAAGAGAACGUUGUUUAUAAAGCUGCAAACGAAGCCAAACAAAUGCUCCCGGUGCAUAUUCCACCUUUCGAUGCUCUUUAUCAUAAUACUCUUUCAUUCGAGAUUGAGCCUGCUGUAAUCGAGUCUUAAUUUUUGCCAAAACCACAUCUCGGUCAAGCAAGGCUUGAUCAAUUGCCUCUACUCAAGCAGAUCUAGGUAUAGAGGACAAUAAUCUUGGUUGUUCGAGGCCAUAGACGACCUUGAACGGCGAAGUCUGAAGAGCUGUAUGAAAAGAAGUAUUGUAGCAAUAUUCUGCCCAAAGAAUCCAAUCAACUAGUGUAUCAAAAGCGCUUAAACCGUGCUUAAGCCCUGAAGCAAGGCUCAAAACAUGUUGAGCGCUUCUCCUCACUUAGUGGGUGCUUCAGUGUUGUCAUCAAGGCUCUAAGUCAUACUUUUUCUUGCCAAUGUGUGUAAUCCUGAAGAGGUGACACUAAACAAUUGAUAUUUCACUUUAUCGUAAAUUUUCUUCAAUUUCUUUAUCCAUAUAUUAGGUAUUCAUACUUAUAGAUAUUAGUCUUGGACUACACAUACAAAUUUGUAAUUUUUCUCAAUUUGCGCCUUUUUUCAUUAAAGCCCAUGCUUUACUUACGCUUUGCGCUUAAAGCCCCAACAGACAUUAGAGCUUUUUUGCGCUUUCGCUUUUGAUAACACUGCAAUCAACCCCAGCGUUGAGGACGAUCACCCACAAGACACCGCAAGUACAUUUCAAUAUUGUGGUUGACAACCUUCAUCUAACCAUCCAAUUGAGGAUGAUAAGAUGAACAGAAUGCAGGCUUAGUCCCGCACAAACGAAAAAGUUCCCUCAAAAAGUGACUGGUGAAAAAUACAUCCCUAUCACUAGUAAUAGAUUCUGGCAACCCAUGUAAACGCACAAUAUUUUAAAAAAAAAUAUGUGCCACUCGUGGAGCUGUACAAGGAUGUGCCAUAGGGAUGAAAUGAGAAUAUUUUAAAAAUCGAUCCACCACCACAAUCAAAAUCGUUUUCCCCCAAACGUUAAGUAGCCCAUCAAUGAAGUCCAUGGAGAUAUCAGCCCAAAUCUGCGCAGGAUGUGCCAAGGGCUGAAGCAACCUGGUUGGACUUAGAUUUUCACUCUUGUGGCGUUAACAAAUCAGACAAGCUGCCACAUAUUCAGCAAUGUUGGACUUCAUAGCUUUCCAACAAAAAUUAUUGUGCACUCGUUCGGAAGUCUUCUGAACCUCUUCAUGUGCACAAUCAUGAUAACGAGACAAGACCAUUGCAAUUAAGGGAGAAGAAGGUAGCAAAUAAAUUCGACCUUUAUAAAGAAUGAGAGCAUCAUGAACGAACCCAAACAUUGUCCAUCUCCUUUGCUAUUGUUAAAUGGACCUUGGGCCUAACUUAACCCCAAAAGCUAGCUCAAGAGGUGAUGAUUGCCCAAGUCCAUAUAAGGAGACCACUCGUCCCUUAAUUGUCGAUGUGGGACUCAACAGCUACAAUUUGGGAACAUAAUUUUUGUAAUGAUUCAUUAUUUUUUAACUUCCUCGCGAAUAGCAUCUAAUAACAAGGAGCGAGGUUGGUUGAUGGCAUACAAAACCUCCCCUCAACAGCCUUGGUCAAAUGGCCAGCAUGGUAUUCCAAACAAAAUUCGAAGCCCCUAAGUUUCGUAAUCCAAUAUUGCUGGGAGGAAGUGUCAAUCCGUUGUUCAAGCAAAUACUUCAGACUAUAGCGGUCAAUAUGAAUAAAAAAGGCUCUCCCCCAAAGGUAUGGAUGCCAAUGUUGUACAGUCGUGGCUAACCCAAUCAAUUCUCGCUCGUAGGCCACUAAAUUUGUGGUGGCGCUCCACCAACUGUCGGUUGAAAAAAGCAAUUGGAUGGUUGUUUUGUUGAAGAACAUCCCUAAUACCUCCACCAGAAGGAUAUUAUUCCUCAAAAUUCAGCAAUUGCAAUACCAGGGCAGAAACAAGUGCUUUUUUAAUUCGGUACAAGGAGUCAGUGCCUUGUCACUCCAGUGGAAAGAGUUUCGUUUAAGAUGCAUGUCAAUAAUGCUGCCAAUAACGCAUAAUCCCUUAUAAAUCGGCGUUGGUAUCCAGUUAAACCCAAAAAUCCCCUCAAAGAAGUAAUUGACUAUGGUUGAGGCUAGUCUGUAAGUGCUUGUAUUUUGUUUACAUCUACUGAGACACACCUGUCGCAGAAAUCACAUGACCAAGAUAUGCUACUUGGGUAUCACCAAAGGAGCACUUUGAUUGUUUCAUAUAGAGACGAUGGGCACGUAACAUGUCAAAAACCACACGCAAAUGAUACAAAUGAUCCUCCCAUGUCUUGCUAUAGAUUAAAAUAUCGUCGAAGAAAACCAACACAAACUUACAUAGGCGUACAUUGAAGACAUCGUUCAUCGGUUCAUGAGUGCUUGGAACCUUGAAGAAGCAUUGGACAAUCCAAGAGGCAAGACGAAAUUCAAAAUGCCCAUGAUAUGUGUGAAAAGCUGAUUUAUCAAUAUCUGGUGGAUUCAUGCGAACCUGAUGAUAACCAGAUUUUAGAUCCAGCUUUAUGAAGUACUUGGAUCCAUAUAAUUCCUCUAAUAGUUCCUCCACCACAGGAAUAGGGAACUUCUCCUUGAUAGUUUUGUCAUUAAGCUCCUGAUAAUCAACACAAAAUCACCAAGUACCAUCAUGCUUCUUGACUAGUAAAACUGGUGAUGAAAACGGUGAUCUAAUACGCCAAACGAUCCCUUGUUGUAACAUCUAUGUGCAUUGUCUUUCAAUCUCAUCCUUCUGCAAAUGUGGAUAACUAUAGGGUCACACAACCACUGGUCCAGUUCUAGGUCCAAAGAGAUUCAGUGAUCACAAUUUCAUAAAGGGGGCACCCCUGGAGGUUCGUGAAAUAAUUCAGCAAACAAUUCCUCUAAUUUGUAGCAAAACUUGCCUAAAUCUUGAAUUAAAUCGAGUUGAUAAAUGGUGCAAGGCGGGUCUCACAAGACAAUUUGAUCGACAUUUAAAAACAAAACUCAUGGUGAGUGUAGCGAAGUCCCAAAGGAUUGGCCCCAAGGUUCAUAACCGUUUAACACCUAGCACCAUAUCAAUGUCAGGCAAAGGAAUGAUAAUGAAGUCAACAAUAAAAGCAGUAUCAAUGGAAAAUGAUACUGUUUGGCACAUUCCUUUGCUUUGAACCUUAUCAUCAUUAGCAACUGAAACAGUAACACUUGACUGAAAUUGAGGAUGUAUGUUUAAGAGUUGGGUAGAUGUUAAACUGAUGAAGUUAAGUGUACUUCCAGAAUCUACCAAACCCAGUAGUGAUUGCUCUCGUAUAACAGCCCUUGCUUGCAUGGUUUCUGCACUUUUUUUACCUAUAAUGGCAUGCAAAGAAAUAGCAGGUUCGGACUCAACUUCAGCGGUAGCUUCCAGAAUCCGCCAACUCCAGCCAAAAAAGUUUCUUAUAUUUAUGCCCAACUGUGUAAGGGUCGUCACAAUUAUAACAUAAGCCCUUUGCCCUUCGUUUUGCCAUUUUUGCUCUGGAUAAUAUUUUUAUGAAAGGGAUUGAUGAACUUACUGAUUUUGCUUCUUUAUUUCCCCCUAAUGCAAUGCUGCCCGUUGAAAGGAGGUACAGAAGUUUCUAUGUUGGGAGAAAAAUUGUUCUUAUUGCUCUGCCAAGCCCCUUUUUCGUGUCGUUACUUCCUUCAACAUUAUUUGUUUCUUUUCAAAUGCCCUAGCUAAAUUCAUAGCAUGAGCCAAAUCUUGUGGGUCCUGUAGUUCCACAUCUAGCCGGAUGUAAUCAGCCAACCCAACAGUGAACAAGCUUACUUGUUGAUCAAUGCGAACAUCCUUGCUUGCUAGUGCCAAGCGUUCCUGGAACAGUCGUCAGUAUUCCUCAACUGAGUCUGUUUGUUUCAAGUUGACAGCUCUCCCAGGGGAUUGCUUCGGGCGGGUGGUCCGAAACAGAGAGUGCAACAAUCCUUCAAUUCUACCCAACUCAUGGAAGGAUUCUCAAACUCUAGAUGAUGGUACCAUAAUUGUGCCUUACCUAGCAUAUGGAAUGUAGCUAAUCCCAUCUUGUCUUCCUCACGUAUAUGCUGAUUAGAGAAAAACUUCUCGCAUCGAUGUAGCCAAAUUAACGAAUCUGUAGAACCAUCAAAAGUAGGAAAAUCCAGUUUGGUAUAUCUGGGAACCACCCCACUUCUAGUAAGUGGCUGAAAAUUGGUUCGCUUUAGUUGAGUUUGUCCCAAGUUGUGGCUGCUAGCAGUUCCAUCAACGUCCUUAUUAGUGCUAUGAUUCAAGAGAACCACUACAAUAUUCAAAUAUUCCUAAUGAUCAUGUCUAAUAAGUGAAAUUUCCAACAAACUAGGAAACUUUCCAUAUUCAUGUAACUCAACUUCUGUAUAAGGAGCUCUCUUGCAUGCAGAGAUUUUCUCUCCUCUCUUUGCUUUUCACAUGGUAUCAAAGUUUCAAUGAUCUUUGUAGAGACCCAAUUAACGUUCGCUUACUGGAGGAGGCUUUACAUCGUCGCCCAACCAAAGUUUUUCUCUCUUUAUAUAACAUUACUAUUCUGGUCCAUUUCCUACCAUGUUUUCCAACAUCUUUUUCCGUGGUUUAUUCUACGUGCCUCAUGCAACAUGAAUUGUCAAGGGCUAAUGCUAUCCUUCCACCUCAUUUGACCCACAAACCAAUACUACACAUUUGUCUAGUUAUGAAACUAUGUCAACCAACAUAUCACAUUAGCAAUAUAAGUCAGUUGACAGGUCAAGUCAGUAGUCUACAUUGUUCCAGUUAGAAGCCCACGUCAGCUGACCUUUUGAAACAACAACCACUUCAUCCCCAUUAGUGUCGUGUCCUUGUGCAGAAAAGAAACUAUCAUGGCCAAGCUAGCAUGAUAUCAUCAUACAUGUCUUCAAGUUUGGUCAUAUCUCAUGAUUUUAUGGUAGCGCCACCGCUUAGUCUUAUGGCAGCACCAAGUCAAUUUUGUUCUGGCAAUACUAUUUCAAUAAUACUAUCCAAACUACUGUUCCUUCAACAGUAAUUUUUUCCAACAUACUCAACUUGAAUUUCUAGUUUUUAUUUGCAAACUGAAGUUGUUAGACCACCUUGAGUUUGACGGGAAGUGCAAUAGAAACUUGUGUUUGAUAAAAAGCAAAUGAUUCUUUAUAAACCGUAAAAACCAACGAAGUGGAACCUCCUCCAUUAAAGUCCAACUAUGCACAUGCCAUUUAUAAUUGAAGGUGAAUAUCCGUACGUAGUGAGACCGCAAAUUUGCCUAAGUCAAAUAGGAACAUGUAUGUCCCUAGACAUUCUAACUUUCUCAAGCAAUUACGAGAGAGAAGUAAGCUUUUUGUUUUUUUCUAACAACAAGAGCGAAGUAAGCUUGAAGAAACUGAAAUGAUCAAAAGCGAAUUAGUAGCUUUUUGGAGUUAAGCAAAAGCAUCACAAAUGGAACAUGCUGCUAGCACAAAAUUGAUCUUGAGAGAAGGUGAAUUUGGCUGUAGUAGCAUGAAUAAUUCAUUAGUAGUCAUUGCGCAAGUAGCACUCCUUUCUUUCCAAGUUACAGCUCAUGGCACUAUUUAUCGUGGUCAACAAAAGAGAAAAGCUUAACCUUUUCUUGUUCAAAUUCAUCUUCAACAGUUCUCCUAAUACUAUUCUAAAGCAAUCCAUGAUAUUCUAUAUGGAUGGCAGGAAAUUGUAGCAGAUGUACAAAAUUAAAUUAUGUUGUUUCCUUUGAUCAGAAACUUAAGCAUCUUCGACCAAUACUUCAAUAAGUAAGCAACUUAAGGUAAGCUACAUAUGGCGCACAAAAUUAAAGACAACAUUUCCCUAGGAAAGGGGCAUAAGAAGGCCGAGUUUACAAGCAAUCUAUGUUCGCAAAGGUUGAGGUCCACCAAAUGGGUACAAAGUACUUGGAUUGACACAUUAGUUUUGUUUUAUAGAUCAAUUGGCACACCGGUAAAGCCUAGUAAAGUUGCAAAUGUAACUAAGCUAGAUGUCAGUUAAUCGGGCAACAUGCUUAUCAAUUGAUACAAAUACUUGAUUACACAAUGAAGCAAACAUCUAAAUUGGAGAACGUUGGCCAAAGGAUAUGAUGCAAGUGCAUGGUUACAAUAGUCGAAAGGUAUUAGAUAUCAAGCAAAUGCUAAAGCAUACUUGGAAGAGACAACACAGACAUAACAGGGGAAACACCCCCGCAUAGUACGAUCUGGGAGAUAAGAAACGAGUUAGAAGAUGCCAAUCAUACAUUUCAGUAACACAUACCCAAGUCAUUUCGCAAAUAAUUACUCAUUUAGACGGUCAGAUAUUGGACUUGACCACUUUAUAUGUAACAAUUUAGGAUAAUCUAGCCUUCAGCUAUGUUUCUCGGACUCUCCGAAAAUGUCGCCGGAUGCAUGAAGGUUCCUCCAAAAGUAGUGCACUUUUGGAGGAUUGCGGCAGAAUUUUGGAGAGUCCGCACAACAUAGGCCUUCAGAAGUUGCAGCUAAUAAACAUGAUAGUAAUAUACCCAUUCCUUGGCAACCAAUCAUCAUACCUUGUAAAAAGUGUUGAACAGGUUGCACAGCAGUUGGAGUGAAUGAAUGCUACUUUCACGCGGCCAUUCAUCAGUAGAGCUCAGAUUCUCUUUUCCAGCAUGUCUUACAUGAUCAAAAAUGGGAAAUAGCACGCGGUGGAAAAUGUUCUCCCAAAAUGUGGAUGAAAAUUUGCCACCUCUCUCGUUCAGCAAAUCGAAUAGAACCUCAAGUGCACAGUUUCUGACCUCUGGUCUAGGAUCAGAGGUCAGAUCAGAUAGACCAGCCAGCAUUGGGAACCAAAAAUGCUCUGUGACAUCGUAAGUCACAUCUUCACUGGUGUCAACGGGCUUCAAAGCACCACCGGGUAUAAGGCCCUGAAAUUCAUUUCCACACCGAGUAAGAUCAGCAUAAACUUAUGCAACUUCUAUAGGGAAUAACAGAGCAUUGAAAACUCAACUGAGCGUUAAAUCGCAAGCAUGUAGAUGGUUAUCUAAAAUAAGAGAAGAUAUCUACAUAUUACACCUGAAAAGAGUUAUCAAAAAUAUCGCACGUAUCCCAUUUAUCAUAAUUAGAUAUAUUUUAUUCAUUUUAAAAUAGAUAGACUUUCUGAGAUACUCCAUUUUAGUGAUUCUUACAACAUUUUAAAAUUUAAGGUUAAUUUUCACAAUUAUCUUAGGUCCCGUUACGCGGAAAAUCAGCUGUCAUAAGCCAUAUUUACAUACUUAUAACAAUAAAUUGAAGACCAAAUAACAAAGAAAAUGGAAUCGACAAGUAGGUGGAAGCCCAGAUGACAAACCUCUGCAAGACGAUCCUCACAAAUGCGAAGUAGUGCAAUUGCUUUCAAGCUGAUUCUGUGAGAGGUCUUGUUGUUUGCAAAUCUGAUCAAGCAAUUGACACAGUCCAUGAAGCAAUCUCCAACUACUUGAUCAAAGUGCUCCAAUAUAACUGCAAGAUUAUUUCAAUGUUCAGACUACAACGAAAUCUUCCAUAAUGGAAUCUGAAAAGUGAGAAGCAUACAGAAGAAAUUUUAAAAUAGAAUGAACCGAUCCAUACCCUGCUCAACAUUCUCAAAAGCACUUUCAACAAUUGGCUCUAGAUCAUCAUCUGCAGCAGCUGUGAAUAUCAUGAACACACUUCGCCAACCAGACUUAAUACUUCCUACCUUUGACUUUAUCAUCUGCUACCAAGUAGGAAUUAGUAUAUUUUCAAACAAAAGUAAGCCAAGAAACUAAGGAAAAAGAAAUGAAGCACACAUACUUGCACAAUGCAAUCCACAAUGAGUCUCCUUAUAGUUUCACUUCGACUGCUUCUCAUAAGAACGACAAACGGUUUUAAAAUAUCAUUCUGGAAGGUAAAAUUGGCAAGUUCAGCGCGCUCCAAAUACUUCAUACCAAGUUGCCGAAGAGAAUCUAUGGCAUACAUAGCAACUUUUUCUUCAGGAUGGCUCCCAGCAAAAAUAAAAUGAGUAGCCAGAACAGACCAUAUUCUUGCCCAAACCUGGAAAGUCAUUAUAGACAACCUAUUAGGGAGAUGCGAGGCGGUUAUCAUCAAUGAAUUAAUUCACUGGCACUUACAAAAGUAUGCACCAUCUAGUUAUCAAUAUUAAGCUGAUUCCUAUUGUGCCACAAGAGAUGCAGCUCCAUAGCUAAAUGAACUUCAAAGAAUUAUUAAUACUAAUCAUCCAAUUGGCUAUUAGAGGUGGAAACACACCCACUUUUGCUCAUAACUCAUAAGGUUCUUUACGCAAUCAAAUAAAUCAACUAAUAUUCAGAAAAGCAAAUGUAUACCAAAUAGCUUUGCUGGUGGAAGGUAGCAAGGACCAUAUGGAAUAGUCGAAGUGCAAGCAAGUCGGUGUGGACACCAUUGCUAUCAAAAGAUAUAACUUUCUAUUCAAAUAAAUUAAUGCUUAUUAAGAAUGUUCCCGUCCAUCAUUUUUAGUUUACAACAUUAUUCCUUUUAUCAAAAUAAUUGCUUCCAUUUCAAGUGGAUUCCAAGCUAGUUGUUUCAUGUUCCUGUUGUCUCUGCAAAAUAUAUAAAGAAGUGCAUAGCAGAAGAGUAAAAUUGGUCCAAUUUUCACUUUCUAACGUGUUAAAAAAAGAUUGAAAUGCAUUGAUAGCCAUACAUUCGAGUGAGCUCCACUUUGGCACUAAUAUAAAUAUAUUGCACUCUUUUUCUGAUAAGUAACACAAAUAUAUUACACUCCUGCAGAAUAAAACAACCAAAGACACGUACAAUCGUCAUAAAAUUCAAAUAUAUAUUCAUUUGAAAUAAGAAGAUAUGAAAAAGAAUAGAUUAGAACUAUACAUUGAUGAGUAUAACAAAUUGUUGAUUUUGUUAGUGUCCCCUAAGUAAAUCAAGGGCAAAGAGAAUAAUUCCACAAGCACAAUAAAUUACAUAUUUCUAAUACAUUUAAGUUUUAAUAUAAUCAUCCGUUGAGCCACAAUCCAGAACUGAACUAAGCAUUAUUUGUCAUUAGCGUUGAGUAGCACUAGGCAACAAGAGGUAAAGAGAUGGAUAACUAAAUAGUACAACCAAAUCACCUGUCAUGUCAAUGUCAAAAAUUUACCCAACACUACUAGCACUUAAAUGGGUGGAGCUAUUACCAUUCGUAUGCGAGCCAUGUUGUAAUAGCUGAUCUCAACAAGUUUUUGCAAGCUGAAAACACGUGCAGGAUAUUGUCUUAAUUCCUCAGCUGAGACUUUACACAAACCACUGAAAAAUUCAACCACUGAUUCACUGGGCAGUUUAACACUAUUCACAAACACUUGCUCAGUAGGUUUUCCAGUCAAGUCUCUAAGAGAUUGAAGCAGAGCAUCUCUGGAAAUUUGGUUAGAUCCUUGCAUAACUGUUGCUGCCAUUGAAGGAUUAGUUACUAUAAACUCAAGCCGGGAAAUGCACUCAAGCACCGCAAUCCAUGUAUCUUGCAAAGCUUCAGCAUCUGAAUCACAUAUAGUCAACAGAGUCCGUAGUGCUUCCACAUUUUUACUUUUCAUAUCCCUUGGUACAUGUAAAAGAUUAAGUCUGCAAUGAAAGUGCAAAAGCUGUUUCAAUAUCUAAUCUGGAAAGCAUAAAUUUUAUCCUCCUCCAUCACCAAAUCCACUCCACCUGACCCUGCCCAGAAUCUAGAAGACAAAAAAGCUAACUUUGGGAAUUAAAUACUAACUUGGUCCAAGCAGCCUUGAUUAUAACUCUUUAUUACACUGAAAGAGUGAAAUUAACAGACACGGCCAAAGAUUACCUAAGAAGAGUCGUCAAAAAUGCGUAUCGCAUGGUGUCCAUUCCAAGAACAUGUGUGAUGUGUAUUCCGGUUUUAAAUCCUUCCAUGCAAACACCAACACGUGCUUUAUUAUCUCCUUCCUCCAUAAGAACAGCUAAAGUGGCGAGCAGCGGCCACCCUAGAGCUUCAAUCAUUGGACGUACAAGUUUGAUAUUAUGUGAAGUAUAAAAGACUCCUCUUUUUCCUGCUUGAUUUCGGAAAAUAGCCUGUGUUUGCUUGAUGAUAGCCUCGCUUUCGGAUUUUGGGUCAAUUGAAGAUCUGCUUCUAGGCAGUGCAAGAUUGAGAAUAUUGACAAGGCGUCCUCUCUCCUCAGAUUCAGGCUUCUGCUUGCUACUUUUCGCGAGGCCAGUAGGAUCAUCUUUCAUCUUUAUCUCCUCUUUAACAAUUGAAUCAUAGAUCUCCUCCAAAAGUUCCUUUGGAGCACAAUCUUCUGCUUCAUCAGUGGCAUUCAUACGUACAAAAUCAUCCUUUGACAUUUUUGGCCAGACCAUCGGGUUGUGAGCAUCAGUAUUCAGCAUUAUAACUGCAUAUGCUAGAACAUACGCUGUGUCUGCAUUCUUGAAUAGACCAGGAUUAUCUGCACAGUAACUGUCAAUAGACAUUGUCAUGAGUGAUAGAUAUGGAUUACCAGAGCAAGUAACUAAUCCAUCACGUGUUUCAGAAACACCUUUUGCAGAAACCAAGUGGCUAAGUAUAUACCAGUUUCAAGUCCUCAUCUAGAAUGAACAGCUUUGAUCAUUGGCACUUAUUUUUCUCCAAUUUUUUGCUACUCAACAUGACAUAAAUUCAGAUACAUGUUUGUCCACAAAAAUAGUUCUAAUCUCUAAUCCUAUGCCACAAAGGACAACCACAACAUCAACGUUUCUAGAAAAGUUUUUUCUUUUGAUAAAUGACAAGCUUUGUUACUUGUUUACUGCACUAGGCAGAACUCCGUAGAUCAGUUUAUUUGAGGACUCAGACAUGAUGCAGAAGGAGAUCCACUAUUUCUCUAGACAAAAAGUAUGAGCUGGCGAAGAGAUCAAUCAUGUUGAAAGACUCUCAAUUACUUUGUUUUUUUGUUUAUCCUCUGCAGUCUUAUCUUGUUAGUGGUUACUCAUCUUUCAAAAGUAUAUCACAGAAGGACAAUAUCUCAAAGAAUGAAAAACAGGUACAAAUUCCCAUUGCUCGGCAAACAUGUGCAUAAUGUAUUCACAAAAGGACAACAUCUUAAUGAUAUUGGGAACUUCAAAUAAAUGCCUUACCGCUCUGCAAACUUUUCCAUAAUGCGAUCUAUCUUCUGAGCUUCCCCUGGAAGCCGAAACCCUUUAAGAAACUCACGAAUUGCCAAAUCAAAUUUCAUUCCAGAAAAAUUCAUUGAGUCAACAUAAGCAUGCAUGACAGCAACAGGAAACUCCUCAUGCUGGCCCAAGUAGUCACCAAUCAUAGCCUGAAACUCCAGUAUAGUUAGAAUUUCUAUUCAAGUCAAUUAAAAGGCAAAACGGGAACACAAAGGACAUAGAUGGUACUUUACCUUGUCCAAGCUAGGAGUACUUCUGAGAAAUUGAGCAACUGAAGUAGGUGAGUUUUCAACCAGCCCAUUUGAUAUUAGAUGUUCAAUUCCCUUAGUGGGUUUUCGAUUGAACUGCAUUAUUUCGAAGAAACAAACACUAAUAGUCCAGCCCAAGCACAUACCAGUAUGCAAAACGCAGCAAAAUAGAUACUUUAUCCAAAUAGAUAGUAAAACAGCAGCCUCAAAAGCUGAUAACUUUCGGUGAGAAUUGGCCAAAAAGACAUACUUCAGAUAUAGCUGCUUCAACAGUAGAUUUGUGGGCCUUCAAUUUCUCAAAGUUACUAGGCAAAUCAUCCACGUCUCUCAUCUUAUCAGGGUCUCCUUUUGAAGUUUCUUCUUCAGAAGACUGAUUCCUGUUGUGCAGCCUUUCUGACUCUGUCCAACACUUCUCCCAGUCGACAAGAGAUUUUAGCACAUUUACAAGACACUGUAAAGGACGAGAUCAGAAACGAAAGUGUAAGGGUUAAGUAUAAUAUUGAAAUUCCACCGAUAACUCAAGAAGAAGGUAUUAUAAAGAGAUGCCUGAAGAGAAGAUGCUUUGAUUGAUGCUAUCUGGGAUGUAGCAACUGAACUUGGCUCAGUAUUUUGUGUUCCUUGUGCAAUUUUAGAUAAUGUGGUAACCUAUAACAGAAACACAUGAGGAUAUUUAGGUCAUACAGUUGUUACAAAACAAAGACAUAGCAAAGCCAACCUCUUUCAGAGACAGAAAUAGAGAGAGAGAGAGAGAGAGAGAGAGAGACCAUUCGUUCAAACAAAUUAGGUGCUUGGAGAUCACAAUCAUAGUUCACAUAAAGGUCAACAAGCAUCUGAGGAUUCUUGCAAACUUUCUCUAGCAUCCUGUAAAAACAGUUACGACAAAGACUGUAAUGUUGUUGUACUAGUUUGCAUGCAUGUGGUUAUUAACACAAGAACAAGGUAAUCCAUCUAUCUACUUUGUUUAAUAAUAGCACAAGACUAUUUUCCUGGGUGCUAAACAAAAGACAUUAAUUUGAACAGCUUUAAACAAUCUAAUGCUGGUGUGGUGCCAUCAAAUAUAACUUUUAUAAUCAUGAUUACACCCCGAAUGCCAUACUUGUACAAAAAGUUAAUAUUCGAGAUUUGUGAAAAAACUAGCCUGUGACUGAUAUCUUAUCCAAGAUAAUGUGUACACUUUCCAUUCAAACAAGUAAAAGAAAAAAAAAAAAAGACACAUCAUAUAAGCGGGCUACAUUAGGUUUGCGGUAUAGAAGUAGAAAUUUAGAGGUCUGAUUCAACCUGUAUAUUUAGGUUGGGAUUUCAAGGUUUUAUAUUGUUUUUUAACGUUUAUAUGUUUUAUCAUUGUUUCGAGUUAGGGCUUAGGUUUUUUCUGUUUUUGAUAAGUUGAAGUGAUUAUUAGUAGCAAUUAAGCAGUUAUAGUCAUACUACAGUGUUUAGAGUUGGCACUUAAGUUUUCUUUUUAAAAAAUUUUGACAAGUCAAAAGUGUAAAUUUAGCAAUCUUUUUAACUCAGAAUAUUUGAGGAAGUUCAACUAUAUUUGUAAGUAUGGGUCUCUAAAGAGUUUUCUCUAGUUACUUUAUGCCUCAUGGCUCAGACGAAACGAGACAGCCUUUUGUAGAUUCAUUUUCCCAUGCUGUGUUGAUUCACAUGGGAAAUAUAAUGCUUUUGGUAUUUAUCCUUCCUUCUUUGCCAUUAAGAAUCUUCUCCAUUAUCUACUGCACCACAAGAUAUCAUUUCCAUAUUUUCUGCUUAUUUGAAGAUUUUAGAUCAUGUGAUCUUUCUUAGUAGACAUAACACAUGGUCAGCUUCUUUGCAAUUUUAAUAAGCUUAAUCAAUAGCAAAAGAUAAUAGAUUCCCCGAUAAAGAUGAUAAUCAGACAAUCAGAAAUUAAUUUGUUACCAAACAAUCAGAAUUCAGUUUAUCCAUAUAAACAUAUCAGCUCAUCUACACUGGUGCAUGCAUCCUGUGAGCACAAAUAUACAUCAAACAAAGGUGAAGGGAGUUCUCCACUCGGUCAAAGGCUCCUGUCCGGCUCCCUCCAAACUAUCCACGUGGUAGCACGCAAAGCCAGCAACUACAUUUGGCAUCUCUACUGGUAUGAUAUCAAGAAUGUAUUUCUCCAAGGUAACAUUUAAUGAAGAGGUCUAUAUGGAGCAACCAUCUAACUUUGUGCCUAAGGAAAGAAAGGUCUAGUAUGUGAAGGCAACGGUCACUCCAUAAUCUGAAAGAGUCCUUACUAGCUUAGGUUGGACAUUUCAAUUCUGUGGUUCAGCAGUUUGGAUCAGACCAUUUUAUAUCAGCGCUCUACACAAGGUCAGUUUCCGUAAGUUGUUGCUUGUGUACAUGAGAAUUAUUACAGGAGAUGACCAAGAAAGUUUGAGAUACCAAGGCACUUUACUCACUUCCAGAUCAAAGACCUUGGAACAACUAAAUACUUUUUGGACAUAUCGGUAAAUCUGGUAUGCUCAUCUCAUAAGAGAAAUAUGCUCUGGACAUCAUAAAGGAAACCAACAUGAUUGAGCAUCUGUCAAUUGACUCACCUAUGGACCCUAAUGUCAAGCUCCUUUCGAGACGAGAACCUUUAGUGUACAUCCAAGCUGCUAUGGGAGAUUGGAUGGUAAGUUGAACUAUUACAUCUCUGAAUAUAUUUUUUCUACUUUAGUGUUGUCAGUCAAGUUUAGCAACAUCAUUGUGUUGUCCUUCAAAUGUAUAAAGGUCAUAAACCAAGGGCGGACCCACAUUGGUUGAAGCGGGUUCAACUGAACCCACUUCGUAAAUAUUUUUUACUAUUUUUAUGUGAAAAUUAUUUUUCAAAGAAAAACAUCUGUAUAAGAUUAAAGCGGUUGAACCACUUAAACAAAGUUGUGCUUUGAUCGGAUGGUCCAAGCGGGUUCAAACUUUGUGAUGGUCGCGGGUUCGAAUCCAAGCUACAAUUGUUUUUGGUUUCUUUCUCUCUUUCUCAAAAUGUUGGACAGCUUAUCUGACAGUUUUUGUCCUUGCACUUCUUCUUUUCUAUCUUUUACUGUUUACUUAGUGUCGUUCCAUUUUGGAAUUUCUAUAUGAAUUUUUUAAUUUUGCUUAGCUCUUCUAUUGUUUUUUUUUUGUUAAGUGUUAGUGCAAAUUAAAUUAAAAUUAAUAAAUAAGUAGACUUUAGUAUUUUUAAUAUCAUCAAACAGAUGUUUGUUAGAGUAAAAUUUUCUAAAGUUCAACAAAAUGUUAAAUUGUAAAGGUAAAUGGUUCUAUUUAUAUAUAUAGUGUUCUUUUUCUUCUUUUUUUCUUUUUUUGGAAAAACAGUGUAGCUUGAAAACGAAAUAAAGAGCUUUGGGCAAAUUUUCUUUUAGGGUUUUGUUACGAACCACAAUAAAAAGCACUAGGUAAACAUGUUUGUUUGUUAAUUAAGUGUCACUUUUGUUGUCGAUUAUUUUUGAGAACUUCAAUAUAUAUGUCUGAACCGGCUUGCAUAAAAGUCUGGGUACGCCACUGUCAUAAACAACAUGAAAACUGAGAAUACUGAGUAUCCCGUGCAUAGUUUGGUGUAAAUAUAUCUAUUGGAAAAAGUAAAAGGCACAAUGAGGUUAACAAAUCAAGUAUAACAGUUAUGUAAUUAGAAACUAUUCUCAUUUAAACAAAAAUCAUACCGUGGAACACUCAUUUUCGCAUUCAGAUCUGUGCCAUCCAGUGGACGUAGGACAAUUAAGGGAAAGAAAAUACCAAUUUCACCCUGAAAAUAAAUUUUAUAAUUUGCAAACCUCUCAAAAUUUUGAAAUAUAUACCUCAAUCUUCAAUAGGAAGUGCAUACACAGCAUACCUUGAGACAUUCCCUGAAUCGCAACAAAAGGACCGAGAAAAUUCCUGUAGCAUACUGUCAAAUUAUGUGCACAACUAUUAGUAAUUUAAACAUCGAAGAGUUUCGAAAGAAAAAAGACAUUAAAAGCAUGGGCGCAUAGUUUCAGAAAGCAAAAUGGCUAACCUGGAAGAUGGUAGGUGAUUGUGAAACUGAUGCUCUUAGUAAAACAUAUGAAAGAUAAGCCUUGACGGAGUCCAUAAACUGAAAGUUUUUUGUGAAAGAGUCACUAACUCCCUCCAAAAGACCCUGCAAAUUAGAUUAUGCAAAAAUAUUUAGUGGAAGACGAGGAUUCCUGUCAAUUGCACCUAAGAGGUCAAGGGUAUGAUGUUAAGAUUUACACUGGAACAGAUCCCGGUGAUGAAGAAAUAGACAACAAGAUGGAACAGAAGAUGCCAACAUUUAUACAAGAAAAACGCUUUAAAAAGAUAUCCAGUAAAACAUACUUAGGGCUAGAAAAGCAUUUUGAAGGUCGCCAAUAACAUCGGAUCCAAAUUAAACCAAUUCGACAGCCUUUCCAGUGAUACUUGAUUUUAAAAAUGGAAAAAGUAUUUGGCGAAUUUACAGCAAAUCCUAGUUAUAUUCUCUGAAACUUUUUCGGAUAAGUCAACCACCAACUCCUAGUUUCCUACGUAGAUCAAAGAACUGAAUAUAUGAGAAUGUUUUUCUUUUUUCCUUUUUAUAUUUUGGACUACGAACUAACAUAUUCCCAGCUUCAAACGAGAUAGCAAUUGUGUUAAACCGCUUUCAUUUUACAACUUCAAGCCUUAACUUCUCAUGUUGUGCAGUUUGGAGUUCAUCGCCUUACUGCUCUGGUUCGCUUCAGAAUGGACAACUGCAGCUUUUCUGAUUUUCUUUUAGGGACUUGGAUUUGCUAGCCUUGAAUUGGUUAUGAAAAAUGGAAAGCCCAAUCUAUCACUCUAGCUUUGGUUUUGUGUAGCUAAUAAUAGAAAGUAGAAACACAAAAGAGAGACUGAAAGAAACUUUAACAUUCCAACAACCGGUUGCGUUAAAUAAUUAAUAUUUUCUUAAUGUUUCUAGUGUUAGUGGUGACAUAACUACAGUAAGUUGACUAGUUAUUUCUGGUCUAUCUCCAGUGAGCUUUAGAUUGCAAAUGCUGUUUUUACAAGUUUUUAGGCAAUGUCUGUUCUGACGAUUUCAAAAAAUGAGUUUGCAAACUCAAUUUUUCAUUUUUUUCAUUUUUUCAGAACAAAAUUGCACGUUAACUUAAAUCUUGUAUACCCAACAUGAAAUGUGAUCGAAAAUCAUGAUAUGCCCAUCGAGGUUGAAAUGAGCUAUAGGGGAGUGUUAAAUAGUUAGUAAUGUAUAGUGUCCCACAUUGGGAAGUAGAAACCUAUUAUUAUGUAAUCAUUGUAUAUAAAUAGUGCAUUAUACAACACUUUAGACAUAAUUAAUAAAACUUUUCCGUGUUAUACUUCUCACAUGGUAUCAGAGCACCCUUGAGAAACUCCGGAAAGGUCGGACAGUCGUUGUGCAUCAACUUUCGGCGACUUUUUCCCGAUCUGAUCGUGUCACUUCCUUUUGGUGAGUGUCGUGCUAAAACCAACACCACCAACAUGCUUGGAAGGCUCCGGGGACCAAAGCCGAAGAAACCAUACCGGCAGAAGACCUGCCACGCGCCAGAACCUCUGGCGCCAGCAACGCGUCUGUCACACGCGUUGGCACGUGAGCCCUUUUCCAGCCAGUUUUUGGCGAAACUCCUUUGGGACAGUUGGCUCGCGAGGUGAUUCCGAGCCUACCAGUCCAAGUUACACCAAAUUCCGACAACUUUUUGUAUUUGCCGCGACUAUUUGCAGAUUCUGACGACGAUUCAGUUUUCGACGAGAGAGUGUUUUUUCUUCACUGUUCCUAUGAGCUUUUUAUUGUUCUUCAUUGUCUGUGCUAUUUGGUCCAACAAUGUCUUUGGGACUUGAUGUUUUUGGUUCUAAAAGCACGGGUUCUAGAAAUUCAAGUUUGAUGAUUACUUCGGAACCCUUAAUGGGAAGUUCAAACCACUUAGACUGGGCUUCUUCUGUUGAGUUAUGGUGCAAGGGUCAAGGUGUUCAAGAUCACCUAACCAAGAAGACUAGUGAUGGAAAUGAAAAAGCCAAAGCACUCCGGGAGAAAUUUGAUGCUCAAUUAUGUAGUUUGUUGUCGUAAUCGAUUAAUUCCAAGAUAACGCCUUUGUUUCGUCCAUUCCAGACAUGUUAUUCAGUUUGGGAGAAGGCUCAUACUUCAUACACUAAUGACAUCUCGUUUUUAUGAUGUGAUAUUUCGAAUGACAAACUUAAAGAAACAGGAGUUGGAUAUGUCUACCUACUGGGACAGGUGCAGGUAGUUAUGGAGGAAUUUGAGAAGUUGAUAUCAGUCACUGCUAGUACUGAAAAACAACAAAAGCAAUCACAGAAAUGUUUCUAGUUCUUACACUUGCUGGACUGCCUAAUAACCUUGACUCGGUGAGAGACCAAAUUUUGGCUAGUCUUUCGGUCCCUACAGUUGAUGAACUAUUCUCUCGAUUGCUUCGUCUUGUUGCGCCACCUAGUCACACAAUGGUCUCACCACCAACUGUUGAUUCUUCUAUUCUCGCAUCUCAGACAAUGGAAAAUCGAACAUCUCAGGCUAUGGAGAAUCGACGAGGAGGAGGUUGUUUUGGGAGAUCUCGACCCAAGUGUUCUUAUUGUAAUAAACUUGAACACACUCGUGAAAAGUGUUAUUCUUUACAUGGUCAACCACCUAGAAACGCUCAUGUUGCUCAGACCGAGACUAUAGGUAAUCAGGGAUUUUCUUUAUCUGGAGGGGAAUAUAAUGAAAUCCUUCAGUAUUGACCCAGUAAGCAAACAACUCCACAAGUAGCCUCAGUUGCUUAGAGUGAUACUCCUGUUGCUGAUAAUUCUUUUGCUUGUGUUUCUCAGUCUAGUACUCUUGGACCGUAGGUCAUGGACUCAAGAGCUUCUGAUCAUAUCUCGGGUAAUAAAUCACUUUUGUCGAAUAUUAUGUAUUCACAAUCUCCUCCUACAUCCCCAGCCACAAGGCCAUCACUCUUGACUUAUCAUCGUCAUCUACGUCUAGCAUCAGGCCUAGAUGAUUCACGUCCUGCAUCAAAUUCUGCACCUACUGCGGACUUGUCUCAUCCUAGUCCACCAAUUGCACUUCGAAAAGGUGUACGAUCCACACUUAAUCCUAAUCCCCAUUAUGUCGUUUUAAGUUACCAUCGCCAGUCAUCACCUUAUUAUGAUUUUGUAUCAUCUUUGUCCAUUGUUUCCAUGCCUAAGUCUACUGGUGAGGUACUAUCUCAUCCAGGAUGGCGACAGGCUAUGGUUGAUAAGAUGUCUGCUUUACAUGCAAGUGGCAAUUGGGAGCUUGUUCUUCUUCCUUCAGGUAAGUCUAUUAUUGGUUGUCGUUGGGUUUAUGCAGUCAAAGUCGGCCCGUAUGGCCAGGUUGAUUGGCUUAAGGCUCAUCUUGUUGCAAAAGGAUACACCCAGAUAUUUGGGUUUGGUAAUAGUGACACUUUCUCUCCCGUGGCUAAAGUAGCAUUUGUUCGCCUCUUUUUGUCUAAGGAUGUUGUUCGGUUUAAGUUAGACAUUAAGAAUGUUCUUCUCCACGGUGAUCUUGAGGAAAAAGUUUAUAUGGAGCAACUGUCUGGUUUUGUUGCUCAGGGGAAGUCUAGUGGUCUUGUAUGCCGAUUUUGCAGGUCACCUCUAUGGUUUGACACAGUCUCCUCGAGCUUGGUUUGGUAAGUUUAGCUAGCGUUAUCAAAGGCGUGCUUAAGCCCUAAAGCGAGGCUCAAAAUAGGUUGAGCACUUCGCCUUGCUCAACGGGCGCUUUAGUGCUAUCAUCAAGGCUCUAAGGCAUAUUUUUCCUAGCCAAUAAGUGUAAUCCUGAAAAGUCAACACUAAACAAUUGAUAUUUCACUUUAUCGUAAAUUUCUUCAAUUUCUUUGUUCAUAUAUUUAAUAUUCAUGUUUAUAGAUAUUAGUCUUGGACUACACAUACAUAUUUGUAGUUUUUUUUUCCAAUUGCGGCUUUCUUCAUUAAAGCCUACGCUUUGUUUGGCGCUUUGCGCUUAAAGCCCAAUAGGCCUUAGAGCUUUUAUUGCGCUUUUCACCUUUAAUAACACUGAAUUCAGCACAUUUAUUCAGGAGUUCGGCAUAACUUGUAGUGAAGCUGAUCACUCUGUGUUUUAUCGGCAUUCUGCUCCUAAUUUAUGUAUUUAGCUGCUGGUUUAUAUUGAUGAUAUUGUUAUUACUGGCAAUGAUCAGGAUGGUAUUACCAAAUCUGAAGCAGCAUCUCUUUCAGCACUUUCAGACUAAGGAUUUGGGCAGAUUGAAGUAUUUUCUAGAUAUUGUGGUUGCUCAUAGCCCGUUUGGCCAAGCUGCAAAAAUCAGCUUAUUUUGAGAAGUGCUUUUUUUCAAAAAUGCUGUUUUCAAAAGUACUUUUGGUGAGAAGUAGUUUGUGUUUGGCUAAUUAAUUUGAAAAGCACUUCUGAGCAGCAAUUAGUAUUUAGCCAAGCUUUAAAAAACUGCUUCUAAGUAUAUUUUUUUCAAAAGUGCUUCUCAAAAAAGUGCUUUUGGAGAGAAGCUACUUUUUUCUGCUUCUCCAAAACUGCUUCUGCUUCUCCUCAAAAGCACUUUUUUUCCUUCCAAAAGCUUGGCCAAACACCUCAAUUUUUUGCCAAAAGUGCUUUUGGCCAAAAAAAAAAGCACUUUUGGCCAAAAAGAAGCUUGGCCAAACAGGCUAUCAGUCUAGCUCGGGUACUGUUAUUUCACAGAGGAAGUAUGCCUUAGAUAUUCUUGAGAAGACAUGAAUGAUGGGAUGCAGACCUGUUGACACUCCUAUGGAUCCAAAUGUUAAGCUUCUGCCAACACAGGGAGAGCCUCUUAGCGAUCCUGCGAGAUAUAGGAGGUUGGUUGGCAAAUUGAAUUACCUCACACCUGACAUUUCUUUUCCUGUGAGUGUGUAAGUCAGUUUAUGGAUUCUCCAUGUGAUAGUCACUGGGAUGCAGUUGUUCGCAUUCUUCGGUAUAUAAAGUCAGCUCCAGGCAAAGGAUUACUAUGCGAGGAUCGAGGCCACUAGCAGAUUGUUGGGUACACAAAUACUGAUUGGGCAGGAUCACCUUCUCAUAGACGUUCUACGUCUAGAUAUUAUGUUCUAGUAGGAGGUAAUUUGGUCUCUUGGAAAAGCAAGAAACAGAAUGGAGUUGCUCGAUCUAGCGCCGAAGCAAAAUAUCGGGCCAUGGCUAUGGCAACGUGUGAGCUAGUUUGGGUCAAGCAGAUGGUCAAGGAGUUGAAGUUCGGAGGAAUCAGCAAGAUGGAACUGGUGUGUGAUAAUCAAGUUGCUCUUUAUAUUGCGUCAAAUCCUGUGUUCCAUGAGAGGACUAAACACAUUGAGAUCGACUGUCACUUGUCAGAGAAAAGAUUCUCUCAGGAGGUAUUGUUACAAAGUUUGUGAAGUCAAAUGAUCAGCUUGCAGAUAUUUUCACUAAGUCUCUUACUAAUUCUCGUAUUAGUUACAUCUGUAACAAGCUCAGUACAUAUAAUUUAUAUGCACCGGCUUUAGGGGGAGUGUUAAAUAGUUAGUAAUAUAUAGUAUCCUACAUCGAGAAGUAGAUACCUAGUAUUAUGUAAUCACUGUAUAUAAAUAGGGCAUAGUAUAAAACUUUAGACAUAAUUAAUAAAACUUUUCCGUGUUAUACUCCUUGCUACUUUCUUGACAAAGAUCAUCAGUUUUUUAGUUUUCAAUCGUUGAUAAGUUCAACAUCUACAGUAAUUAAGGGCAUUUUAGUAAACUUAGUAGUUAUUGUACAGUGCAAUACAGUCAAACCAAGCAAGAAAAAUGUUAUUAACAACUAUAAACAAUACAACCUAUCCAAACAUAAUUUCAAACACCACAAUAAAACACAAUAUAAAACAAUACACUGGGAAACGAUAGGAAACAACAAUCAAACAGGCCGUAAAAGAAUGCUUACCUGAAGUAGCUCCAAGGACAAAAUGCGUGUCUUAACAGUAACUUCAUCAUUGUCUUCCUUUAUGCCCAUCUGCAAACUCGUUUCUAUCAAAACAAAGUCCACAGAUUUCCUAACUACCUUGCAUCAAUGACAAGUCAUGCAAACCUUGCAAAGGGUUCGGAAAAGAAGUAAGGCAUCAUGCUGUCCAGGACUCAUGCUUUCGAGCUCAAUUCCUCUGGUUAAAGUUAUAAAUUGUCACACAAUUUGUAAAAUGUAGUUAAACAUCACCGCAAAACAUGUUUGCUUUACAAGAAUCAUGUCCUCAACCCUGAAUACAUACCUUGUGACCUUUUCACCAUCUUCAAGCUGCACGGCUUUCUCAAGAGCAGCCUCUAAACCCUACAUUCCAAUGAGAAAUUAUAAUAGGUACUUAUCAUAAGCUUUUACAUGACAAUACUGUAAUGGCGUUAGUAAGAAUGAAGUUUCAGAUAGUAUGCAAAACACCUUAAUAUCAGCACCACCAACGAAACUUUGAAGUUCCUCAACUGAUGCAACAGAUGUAUCUUUAGCCUGAAUAAUGUUAGCUGCAUCUUCCCCUUGUGUUAUUUCUUCAUUUUCCGGAUCAUUACAUGACACUUCCUCAACCUUUACGUUUGACCCAUUAGUAUCAGUAGUUUCUUGGCGAGCAACAGAUCCAGAUGAACUAGAAACCUGAAUUGCAAGAAGUUAUUAAGGGUCUAUAUAGUAAAUUCAUGGUUCCCCAUCCCCCCCCCCCCCCCAAAAAAAAAAGCAUCCCAAAGAAGAAACAAAAAACCGGUUCAGUUCACGAUUCAUUCACAUACCAGAUCAUUUUCCAUCCGUCUGAAUACAAUGCUAAGCAUCUGAGUUAGCAUGGCUUUUGAUGUUGCUUGGUUUAUUGGACUUUUGCUAAACAGACAAAGCAGAGACAUUAUUAGCUUCAAUUGAAAUUAAAGCUUAAUCACCUUCAGAUAAAGUAUUAAGCCAAUACCUGUUAAGAGCAAUAUUGUAACACACCCUAAUAACUCCGAGCAACGAUUCCCCGUGUACUGCAUUUUUUGACAAAGCAUACAUAGAAAAAAUGUGUAAGGUCUCCUGCCUGCCAAUUACAGAGAGAUCCCACUCCCUUCAAUUUUUAGUGCAUACAAGCAAUAACUGAUCAAUGUUCUAGGCAAUAGCUUUACGAAGGGGGACACACUAAGGUAUCCCGAAAUGUAGUACUCUCUCAGUUACAUUGGAAAAAUGUUGCUAAAUGCCCGCUUGAGGACAGUUAAGUCAUGAAACUAUGCAUAGUGCAGGUUGAGAGCUAUGUCUCGCUCGCUUAGACAAAACAUAGUGCAGGUUGAGUGCUAUGUCUCGCUCGCUUAGGCAGAACUUUAGUACAAGCACCAAGGCACUUACAUGUGCAACUCAAUGCUCACAGACUAUCUUUCAGAGGGGAAAAGAAAACCGGAAAAGGAUCAAAACUGUCCUUGUAUUAUCUGAUAUAGAACAAUUAUACCCUCCAUUAAAAGUUGAUAUCAAAACUACCCCUGCCGUGACCAAUUUGGCUCACUUAUACCCUUUUCGACUAGCAGACUUAGUUUUUGUAAUUUUAAAUUUCAAAAAAUGCCACAUGUCCCAAUUAAUAACUUGUCCCCUCUCUUUUUAAGAGAUCCCCUCCCCUCCCUAGUGGUUACACCCAACCGCUAGCCCCUAUUUAAAUUUUACCUUUUUUUCUCUUCUUCUUCCUCACAUAGUUCAGCAUCUUUGAACCAAAUUGUUUUUUUUUUAAUUUCUUUUUUUCUUCUCUUUCAUCCUCUUUUCUUUCUUCUUCCUCUCUCUUCAAUCUCCAUCAAUGGCAAAUGAUUGAGCAUUUUCUUUGGAAUUUUUUUUUCAGUCGGAUCUCAACCUUGGAAGUAGUGAAGCUCGUCGGUUGGAAGUAUAAUAGUAUUUCAAUGGUUUCUACUAAAGACCAACAACAACAACAACAACAACCCAGUAUAAUCUCACUUAGUGAGGUCUGGGGAGGGUAGUGUGUGCGCAGACCUUACCCCUACCCUGGGGUAGAGAGGUUGUUUCCAAAUAGACCCCUGACAUCCUUCCCUCCAAGAACUUCCCACCUUGCUCUUGGGGAGACUUGAACUCACAACCUCUUGGUUGGAAGUGGACUAUGAUCAAUGAUCUCAAUUGGUAGUGAACUAUGAUGGUUGAUUUUUUGGAGGUGAGGGAGCUUUUGGGUGGCGGAACAAUGAAGAAAGGGUGACGGUGGAGAGGAGGUAUUGGAGGAGAUAGGGCGGUGUUCCGACAAUAAUGAGGGGUGAAAAAGAUGGUACAACGUCUAUGGCUAAAGUUGGAGAAGUUGUAGAAGAUAAAGAUGAGGGUAAAAAUCUAGAGAGAGAGCUAAAGGAGAGGCAUGCAAUGGUGAUAAAGGAAGUAUUUUAGAAGAAAAUUAGGUAGGGAGAGAGGAGUAGUAAAGAAAAGGGUGGUGGAGCAAUGGUGCUAUAGUGGUUGAGGGGUGGUGUUGAUGGAGUGUGCCACUGAUGGAGGUUGAAAAGAAAUGAAAAAGAAAGAGUAAGAAAAUAAAAGAGAAGAAAAAAAAUAAAAAAGUAAAACAAAAUCAGGGGCAUGUGGUCAGAUGUAAAAGUGAGGGAGGGGAGGGGGCUCUAGUAAAAAGAGGGGUAAUUUGGACGAAAAAAACAUUUAAAUUUUAAAAAUAUCCAAAAAUUAAGUAUGUGAGUCGAGUGUAUAAGCAAGCCAAAUUGGUCACGGCAGGGUAGUUCUGAUACCAACUUUUAAUGGAGGAUAUAUGUUCUAUACCAAAUAGUAAAAGGACAGUUUUGACCCUUCUCCGAUGAGAAAACUAAUCACCACUUUGAACUUAAAACAGCAUUUUCACAUUUGAAUGAGAAACAUACAAUGGCUGAAUUUGAGUUUUACUUCAUAUGUUCAGUCGUAGUUUUCUUCAAUUCUUUAGUCUAUAACAUUGUUGAUAGUGUACAUUGUUAUGUUUUUGCUGCAUUACUUGGUACUUAAUUUUUUGGCAUGCACUUAUGUUCAGUAAAGCGUUCAUUUCAGUCACGCUUUGUGCUGAAAGUCCAAGCAGGUCCCUUAGACUUUUCUAUGUUAUUUGCAUAUUGCAUUGAACAAACCAUGUAUGCUACAAAAUUUAUCAGUAAAUGGAUUAUCUGAGUAAAAGUUAGUAAUACACUUAAAAAUUAUGCUGCCUUUGUCCCAGAUAACAAUCCCAGUUUGGUCUAGCACGGAGGAUAAGAAAACAGCUGAAAUCUUUAGUUUAGUAUUUGCUAGAAGAAGAUUUGAGGCUUUCUGUUUAACACCUAAUUUUGGAAUAUAUUAGAGAAAAAACAGCCAACCAGUGGUUUGACUACUCUUUGAUACAUAAGACCCCAUUUUCGAAAUCGCUUCAGAACGUAAAUACCAAUAGAAAAAAAGAAAAGAAUGCCAUGUAAUAUGAGAUCUCAUAAUUAGAAAAUUUUACUAGAAAGCAAACAUCAAACUAACUUCAUUUAAUUAUUUAUCUUUUAAGGUUCAAACAAUAUCCAAUUAUAUUAGAUUUAGAUAAAGGUGCGUACAUGCAAGUAAAAUUUAUCAUUUUAAAUGUAAAUUUAAGAACAGUUAACAGAGAAUGCUAUGUAGUAUGAGAUCUCAUAAUUAGAAAAAGUUAUUGAGAAAUCUAGAAAGCAAACAUCAAACAUCCAACUAUUUAGUUUAAUUAUUUAUUUUUAAGGUUCAAACAAUAUCCAAUUGUAUUAAAUUUAGAUAAAGGUGUGUACAUGCAAGUAUAAAUUUAUCAUUUUAAAUAGAAAUUUAAGAAAAGUUAACAGGGAACAUAUGUGAACACAGUUAGAGAAAAGCAUUAACUUUUUGGAUGAUAUUUUGAAAGGUAAUAGAGCUCUCAUUUCAAGGAAAUUGGCACCAUUUUGUGACAGAACCAAAAAAAACCAAAACAAUCUUUUACAGCAUAGAUAGAGUAUAUUUCUAAAAGACAUCAGAAAAAGAUGGGGUGAAAAAAAGUAAUAUUAGCUCAUAUUAGCAAAGAUUUUGCAUGGACAAUAGAAGUUUAGAGCAUAAGAAUUCUAGAAUAAAUAGAAGACAUAUGUUCCAUGCAAGUUUAGUUAACUUAAGAAACGUGAAGUGAGGGGAUAUUAGAUAGAAUUGUGGUGCCUAAUUGUUGAUAAUUCCAAUACCUAGUCGUAAUGUUCCAGGAAAAUGGUAUAGUAGAUGAAAUGUAUCAUAUGGAAUUAAAAUAGGAUGGUUAAGGGGCAGUUUUAUGAGAGUAUUUUGCGAUAAGAGAAUAUCUACCAAAGUGAAAGAUAAAUUCUAUAAAACAAUUGUAAGUCCAAUAGUGUUAAUGUUGGAUCUUCAAGGUCCAACAUAUCCACAAGACAAGUAUCGUAGAAAAGGAUAGAUGUGUAAUCAUACCAGAUUAGACAAGAUUGGAAAUUCGCAUAGAUCAGAUGUAUCAUUUAGAACUAAAAUAGGAUAGUUGAAGUAGAGAACUGCUGCGAGAGUGUUCUACGGUAAGAGGAUACUUACCAAAGUGAAAGACAAGUUUUAUAGAACGAUUGUAAGAUCAACAAUGUCAUAUGUGAUCAAAUAUUGGGCCCCCAAGUCCCAAUAAUAUCCACAAGAUGAGUGUCUUCGAAAUGUGAAUGUUUAGAUGGAUGUGCGAUCAUAAACAAUUAGACAAGAUGAGAAAUUAUCACAUCUAACAGAAGUUACAUGUAGCACAUAUAGAGGAUUAAAUGAGAGAAGCUCGCUAGAGAUUGUUUUGUCAUGUCCUAUGUAUACCUCCAAAUGCACAGGUUGAUAGGUGCAAGAACAUGAUGAUUGAUACAUGGAAGGAAGUUGUCCUAAAGACCUAAAAUCUUUGGAGUCGCUGCAGGCUUAACGAAAAAUAAAACAUAACGGAAGUAAAGUUUUAUUAUAAGCAUUACCAACUAGUUGGGAUUAAGGCAUGAUCAUGUCGACACACUUACAUUAGGCCCAAUAUUUGCCCGGAGUCUUUUUAGUUUGCUUAGAAGUUUGUAUCUUUGUAAAAAGACACAGAAACUCUAAAUUAUUGAAUAUUGAAAGAGGUCCACAUGGAAUGAAUAGGUAGCGAGGAUUCAUACAACAAACUCCAACUAGGUUGGAGUUUAGGAAUAGUUGUUAUUUUGUUGUUGGAAACAAAAAAGGACUGCAAGUUACAACUUUUUAUUAUAAAAAAUAGAAGCCAAGGACAAACUAGAUGACUCAUCGAGAUGGUAAUAGUGGUAGAUAAAAGGAGAUAAUGGAGUGUAAUAUAAUACUACUCCAUCUCAUCUUUUUGUGAGAAGAAUACUACUCAAUCUCCUCUUAUAUGACAACUCUAUCUCAUUUUAUAUGGAUUUUGAUUUGACAUGGAGUUUAACAAAUUAAUUUAACUAAUAUAUUUUGUUAAUAGUAGUAGAAGAAAAUUUUAAACUAAUAAUUGAUAUAGCGAUGUAACAUAAAAGUUCAGAUUUUAACUACAAAAAGAAAUUUGACUUAUCGAAGGUCAUGAAAAUGAAUGGUGUCAAAAUUAUGGGACAUUGCAAAAUUGAAAGAUAGAUGGGACAAACGAAGUAGCAAUUUAUGCAGAGUUGGAUUUCUACUGAUAUAAAACUUUCACAUUUAGGAAACCAGUCAAGGAAAUUGGGGACGAACUUAAGAUGGAUGGGGGUCAAGUAAGUUGGGACUAGACUGGAGAGUAAUUAAGAAAAAAGAAAGAGAAGAAAGGAAUCUCUCUUUCAAAAGUUGCAUACCUCUAAACUUGGUGGAUGCUACAGCAGUAAGAAGUACCUUCAAAACCUGAAGAGUUGUACUGCAUAGAAUUCAUCAAAAAGUUUAUCACUCCAUAUACAUUGAAUAAAUAUAUCAAAUAAAAGAGGCAUAUAUCUAACAGGUGGAUACAGUUUCCUCAUAACUUAACAUAAAGGAAAUAUACUCAAGAAAAAAUCUAAAUAGAAGAGGUUUCUACCUAUCGGGUGAUAAAUUAUCCACACAACCGCAGACCCUGUUCAGGAUGUCUGUAAAUAGUGUCACAUUUUUCCCACCAUCCAAACCAAGAUCUCCCUCUAAAUGAUCGUAUGCAAUGAGUUUCUGCAGAUAUCAACAGAGAUUUAUUCCGUGAAAUUUAGAUAAACUUUAUGAGGAUCUUUGAGCACCCACAACAAUGUUCUUAAAUCUUCAACGUAAGAAAAUACAAAGACAUCUGUUGUUUCAAUACGCAAUGAUUGGAAUAUACAAGUAAGUUAUUCAUGUUCAAUCAGGCAUUUAUAUAAGACAGGUACUAGAAAGACUGGUACAAAUGACUCAACCAUGAGGAGGGAAACAAAUAAAGAGCAAAAUGAGGUACAUGACAGAUGUUUAAAUCAAAUUAAAUAGCUGCAGUUCAAUAGUAAUCAGUCCCCUCCCCCUCUUUAAGCUCCAGUCAUCUACCUAAGUUUGUAACCUGGAUGAUGGCAAGAAAUUUCAAUAAAAUGAAAAAACUAAAGAUGCCUAGCCUAAAUAAUAACGAAAAAUAAAUUUCCAAGUGCCAGGGCCCAAAAGAGCACUAAACAAUAGCAUCAAGGACCUACAUGAAGACAAUCCAAAGCAAGCUCCAUGAUUUUUCCAUUCUUCGUCUCAAAAGCAAGCCGUAGUGGAUUUAACACGAGUUCUGCCUGUGCUUCGCUUAAAGUAUUGCCAGCCUGAGCUAAAGCUGUCACUAUCGUACCACUUUCGCUUGCUGACCUACUGACCUGUUCUGUACCCUCACCACUAGGUGAAGCAGUAGUUGAGUUAACUGACACUGAUUCAUUUUUCGGAGCUUCUGUAUCAGUAGCAGAACUGCAAGACAGGUGAUUCCACGAGCAUUAAUUUACAAGACAUAUCGAGUUAGAAAAAUUGAAGAAAAGAAUAAUAGAACUAGAGGCUUGGCCCAGUCAACUAAUGGAUUAGAAACAGUAUCCAAAAAUGAAACUGUGAUCUCAUUUCUACCCAAAAAAAUCAUGUAGCAUUCUGAACAGUAGAUUACCCAUUGCUCACAGACUAGCCAAUCAAAUCUGAUAAGCUAAGGUAAUUUUUCAAUGGCAUGACAUUGAAAACAAUAUAUGAGCUGAGCUAAUAAUAGAAGGAAACUGAAGAACUUGCAGUUGACAGUUGGAAGAUAAAGUAUAUAAGAGGAAACGAUGUGAUAUCACUCACCUCUGGUCUACAGCUGACGAUGCUGCAUCACCCUCAGUGGGUAAGCUUUGCUGAUUAAAUGCUUUUGAAUUGUCUGUAAAGCAGAUGGAGUUGCAAUACGCAUUAAAAUCAGAAGAAUUACUUCAUUUUAACAAGGGCCAGAGGCAGAAAAGUGUUCCAAAACAAGCAAUUCAAUAACAAAUUUAGCAUAAAGACAUGCAAAUGACCAGAUACAGACAAGCACACAAAUAUAGAAGACAAAUGCAACAAAAUCUACAUAAUUCAACAAUGCUGAUUUUUAAUAGGCCAAACACAGACUGUAAAGCAGCUGCAAUGUUUUUCCAUUUAGACGCCUAAACUAAGGUUGUUUCCCAUUAGACGCCUAACAUAUGUCCAAAAUGUGCCUAUUAAACUCUUCACUCUAACUAGUGAAAAGAUAAAAAACAUGAGUUUCACUCCGACGUGGCAAAAUAGUGUAUGAAACAAAGCCAUGUGGCUUUUAAAUCUAACAAAUCCCAAAAAAAGGCUAAACAAAUGGGGUCCUCCAUAGUCGCCCAUUUGCCUGAACAAGAAUGAACUCAGCGAAAUUUCCAAGUUAUUAUGAAACACGCAUUUCACGUUGAGUGUGUCGAUACUUUCAUGGCAAUGGAUAGCUCAUCCAGUCCCAAAAGUCCCCUGUUACUGCCAGCAUCGUACAACGAAGAAAUGGACACAGGGGGUACAAUAUAGUAAUAGAUGUGGAAGAAGCCAAGAAUCAAAUGUUGUUGUAAUUGCCAAUGAAUACUAACAGCAGCCUUGUGUCUGAUGUUCAUUGGCCAUCUCGGCAAAAAAAAAAAUUAUUUUUUGAGAAGGUAAGUAGAUUGUGUAUUGAAAAUGCAACAACUUAGCACCAACUUGGUGCUAAGACAGUACAAGAGACAGUUACCCUUCUGUACAAUUGCAAAAAAGAAGGAUAUCUGCACACAAAAAGAAGGUCCUAAUCUUUUAAAGAGUCUAUGAAAUCUAACAUACUAUUUUCAUCCUUUACAUACUAAAAAUUACACCAACAAGCCAAAAGCCAUAAACAGUUGUAUUUAAGUAGCUGUACACUAACUUUCUUCCCUUCAAAGCAUCUCACAUUUCUUUCCUUCCAUAUACUCCAGCAUAUAUACGCAGGGAUUGUGUUCCAAAUCUUCUUUAAUGGUUUACUAAUGCCCCUGGCAUUCCAGCAGCUUACUAAAUCUUUGACUGUAUAAGGUAGAACAGUUGUAAUCUUGAAAAGAUGAAAGAAUAAUGUCCAAAUUUGACCAGCCACUGAGCAAAGCAAAAAUAGAUGGCUGCCACUUUUCAUUUUUCUAUUACAAAUGAAACACCUGUUGCAUAACAACACUCCUCUUCUCCAUAGAUUGUUAUGAGUAAGGCAUGCAUCAUGAGCCACCAACCACAUGAAACAUUUAACUUCAUAUGGGGCUUUAGUAUUUAGAUUUCUACAGUUGCUUACAUGGCCAAUUGCUAGAGCUAACUCCCCACUAUUGAGGGUCUUGUAGCAUGCUUUUACCGUAAAUUUGCCAUUCUGUUGUCCAUUCCAUACCAAACAACCCUCCACUUGAUCAUUGAGGGAUACCAUCUCUAAAUCUUUCAAUAGGAGAGCAAUUCUGGAGAUUUGCCAUUCAAAACUAUCUCUUCUAAAUGAAAUGGACCAAGUGUUACCACUCCAGCACUGAGAGACAAGAUUACCCAAGUCAUGUCAACUCAACAUGUAUCAUGAAAAAACAAUAACCAUCCUUCUUUCAUUGUUAUUGUACGUCUGCAUCUUGGUGGCCAAGUUCAAUUCCUAAAGGUCCGGGUUGGUCUACAACAGUACGGCUUAUGCAAGAGCUUUGAGAAGGCUGAUGAAGGCACUAAAAUACUAAAUAAUCUUAUUAGGUCAAUCUUGUCGUGGAGCUCUAUGAAAAAGGACAGCCCGAUGCACAAAGCAUCCAGCGUUCACGCAGGGUUGUGGAGCUCCAUGAUCCAGGAUAAAAGAAGAAAAGAAGGAGUACUUGAUGAUGAGUAUAUUUUUAAGGCCAAAUACAUAGACAUACACUUAAACAUGUCAAAAUUUUCAUUUAGCCACCCAAACUAAGCUUGUGACCUAGUGAACACCUAAUUUAUGCUUAAAAACUGAUAAGAGAAUAUAAUAUGUAUAGUUCACUCGCCACUAACGUGGCAAGAAAGCCAAUGAAGGAAAGAUACUUGGCUUUUUUCCAAAGGAAAAAGAGAAAAAUAAUUUUUGAGCCAAAAAAGAAGAAAAUAUUGAUCUUUUCAACUCCCCUACCAGAUUAUUCUUCAUCUUCCCCAGAACAACGUAUUCUCGUCUUUUUCACCAUUGAAACGAGAUCCACCAACAAACUAACAAAAAACACUCACCAAUUGAGAUAAUGCCUAUAACCAGCCUUUAACGUCUUCAAAAUAUAUCAAUCUAUGAACUUUCAGUUUUCAGUCUCUAAGAUAUACCACCACCAUGUAAGGGAAAGAAACACCCAAAGUCUGACCAAAUGAUAAAGAAGAAGAUUUGUGAUCAGGUCUUAGGGUUUUGCACAAUCCGUGUCAAGAUUGAGAAGUGAAGCUAAUUAGUUCUGAUGGAGUUGAAGUUGUAGGCCAUGUUCAGAGUAAUUUCUCCUCUUCUUCGAAACUGAUCUCGAUCUGAAGAGAACUGAACUCCAAAUCUAAAAAUCGAGUAAUCUAAGCAAUACCAAAAACCAAAAUAAUUGCAGGAAUAUAAAUCAUUAGCUAGAGCAAGAAAACCAGCGGAAAUCAUAAUUGCAAAUCCACCCAGUGAAAUCAUGUAGUGGAGAGGGAGAAGUUUUUGUUUCUUUUACUGCAGGAAUUUUUUCAUUAAUGCAAAAGCCCCAAAAAAGAACAAGACAAUCAGAGGAAGGAAGAUGUGUGUUUUGGGCGAGUUCUGAUCAUCAUGAAGAACAAAAUGGAAGAUGGGUUUUAUUUUGUUGAGAGAGAUGAGACAACAACAUCAACAACAACCCAGUAAAAUCCCACUAGUGGGGUCUAGGGAGAGUAGUGUGUGCGCAGACCUUACCCCUACCCCGAAGGAGUAGAGAGGCUGUUUCCGAAAGACCCUCGGCUCAAGCUCAUCCGAAGGAGUUGAGAGAGAUGAGAGAUAAGGAAAAUUAGAUGAGGAAGAAGAAAAUACAUGUCAGCUUAUUUUUUCCACGUUCAUGCGCUCAAUAAAUGUGAUAUCCACUCUAUGUGCCAUGUAGGCACACAUCAUGCAUAGAUCAGGUGUUCAAUAGCCACAAGCUUAAUUUAGAUGGCUAUAUGAAAAAUUCAGACAAGUUUAAGUGUAUGUGUAUGUAUUCAGCUUACGUUUGAACUAGAAACGAAGAUAUAUGCUAAAAGAAUAUCAGAAGAAAUAGGUGUGGAGAAAAUAUCCUCCAAUGGUAAUAUAAAAAACAUAAGACGAGCAACAAUUUCUGUUCUACAAUUUCCUCUAGUUUCAUUGCACAUCUACACUCCCAAAAUACCCCAUUAUUGUCAAACCACAAAGAAAAAAAAAACAGGAAGGUUACAUUCUACAAGCCAAGUCUACAGGCCAACCAAAGGAGUUGUCAGAAUAGGCGGUUAAGUAAUAGAGUUCGUAUCAAUCAAAUUGGCUGAGGAAAGUUUGAGCAAGAUAUUAACUACAGCAAGGCUUAAGGGGUGAAUUCAGGAUUUCAGUUCCAAUUUGAGGAACCAGGCGGAUUUACACCUCACUCAUCUUCGUUAUGCAUAUGACUCUUUAAUUUUUGGGAACCAAAUAGGGCACAACUCCUUAUCUCAGAGUUUCUAAUAUUCUUGUUUCUUUAAGCAGUGUCUGAGAUCCAUAUAAACUUUUGCAGAGAGGGUUCUUUACCCCAUGAAUGAUAUCCCCAAUCUACAGGAAGGCACUGGAAAAUUGGGUUGCAACAUUGGCUCUUUCCCAGUUAAAUAUCUGGGCAUUCUUGUGGGUGCGAAGGCAAAAGCCACAGCAAUUUGGGAUGAUAUAUUGAAAACGUGUGAAAAGAAGUUAGGUACUUUUCCAUUGGAGGUAGGUUGUGUUGAUCAACAGUUGCCACCACUUUCGUUCACAACGAUGUUACGACUGUCGAGGUUCUGUUUCCAAUUGAAACUCAAGCAGACGGAACUAAACAUACAAAGAGAGCAACUCAAACUAAAUCCUGAGAGAAAAUAAAAGAUUAAUGAGAUAAGGUCUAUAGACGGUAAGGCAAAACUUAGAAGGCUUGAAAGGAAGAGCACUGUAUUCAUUCCUCGAAUAGCAUCCCUCAUGGAGUGCUCACACUUAAAGGUAACAAGUUCAAAUCCUCUAGAUCUACCUGUAUCCCAAUCAUUGUUGAUCUUCGAGUCGAGUAUUUUGUCGAACUGGAAAAAAAAGCCUCUCCAAGUGUUUGGAUAGUGGUAGCACUUGCAAGCCCACCAUCAAGGAAAAAAAAUAUUUGUAAACAUGUUGAUUGAAUUUGGCAAUUUUUUGGUUCCAAGAACAAAAAAAAAAAUUGCAAUUUGAUUGGUUGUAAGAUUUCCUAUCCCAGAUAGAUGAUGAUGAGUACUCUUAAUAAAAGGCACUUAAGUAGUCAUUUCAUAAAUAGUUUCUAUUGCUCAUCAAACUCAUAAUCAUGUUACCUUCUGUUUUUCAAUACUCAACUCUCGGACCUUAGGUUAUUGACUUAGGAACUUCUAAUCAUAUCAACGAUAAUAAAUCUCUUUGACCUAUUAACUUUUAUUAUCAAUAAUCAAUAUCUUUCGACAAUCAUAUCUGCCAAUAGAUUGUGAUGAUAACAUAACAAUAGUAGAUCGAGCUCCCAUCUUCUAAUCUUGACUUUAUACUUUGUCCUUCAUGUUCCUAAUUAUUCUUUUAAUCUCAUUUUAGUUAGUCAUUUGUCUCAAACACAUAAUUGCUCAAAAAUCUUUUUUAAUAACAUUGUUGUGGUACUACAUUGCUAUGUAGGAUGAGUGAUUAGAAAUGAGCGUAAGUCACAUAGAUAUAACAACCUCAAAUCUUUCAGAAUCAUCCCCAAGUUGUUCAAUUGUCAAAUUUCAGGAGAUAUUGCUUCAUGGAGGGGAAUCCUAAUUUAUCCGAUCUUCAGAAUAUAGUGUAUGUUUUAUCAAACUUCUCUAUCAUAAAUUAAGCGUUCUAUCAACUUGGUUAACAUGCUCAUUCCACUUCUCGCAAAAUCCAAUGGUAGAAUUUCUGCAGUUCAUUAUGAUGUUUGGAAUCUUAAUCAAGUUAAUUCCAUUUUAGUUUCCACUAUGUUGUUAGUUUCACUAAUUAUUUUAUUCCAGGUGCAAUUGGAUUUUCCUUAAUGAAAAUUUAUUCCCUACUUUCCUAAAAUUUUAUGCACUAGUACAACCGAGUUUAUAUUAAAAUUUUGUAAUACUAAUGUGAUAAAUGACCAAAACUGCAUGUUUUUUAGUGUAUUUUCAUCUCAUUCAUAGUGUGAGUUGCGAGAGAUUACAUGGCUUUUGAAUUGAAAUAUGUUCAUUACGUGUUUCUUGUGUGUAGGAGUAAGUUUGGAUGAUAAGUGAUCAAAAGAUGACAAUUUGUUGCAAAAAGGUGGAGAUGGAAAGAACUAGGAGCUCGUCCAACCUCGUGCAUAGCACGAAAAUAGACUCGCAAAAGGAGACAAUUAAGUGCACAAAACAGUAAAGUGAAGAGAAAGCGCAGAUCGCUUCGCGGAAUGAAAAAAAAAACUCAAUGGCUGGGAUCUUAUCUGCGAGCGCGCAAUGCGCGAGUGUAGAUGCAGAUUUUAGCAUUCUUAUCCGAGAUUGGAUUGAUUAGUUUCGCCACAUACAAACCUUAAUUAAUAUAAUACAUCCUAAAACAUCUUUUUGAAGGGGAGAGACACUAUUUUGGAGUGACAAAAGACUUUGGAUAGGCAAGAACAUAUGCUUGGAGCAAGGAAAAGGGUUCAAUUCGCGUUUCCUUUCUUCUUUUUUCCUAUUUCCCAAUUUUAUGAAUUCUAGCCUUGUAUUUUUACAUACUAGCAUAAAUACCUAAACUUCUAAUCUAGGGUUGUGACUGAACUUCUUGGAGGAUGAAUUUUUGAUACGUUUAAUAUAAUUGAGCCUUUUUAUUUCUCUACUUGUUCAACUACGUGCUUAUUUCAAUUGAUUAAAUGGCCAUCAAUUGUACAUAUUCAUUAUAUGUUACUCAAAAAAGAAUAUGUAUUUAGGUGGUUGUCGAACAACGUCACUCCUAAGGUAUAUGAGAGAUCAAUACGGAGUGUUUAAAAGUGGGAUUAGAGAUAACGAAACUUUGACGUGGUCAUAGUGAACGGUGAGAAAGUGCGAGUUAGCGUAAUUCGAGAGAAUAUGACUAGUAAAUUAUUGUAGUUGCUCGAGAGAGAAUUACGAUAAGCCAAGUGCUUGAGGCCAGUAGAGAAUAAUUAAGCGGAAUUCUAGGAAACGUAGCGGAAAGGAUUUCGAAAGGUGGGAAAAUCAUAACUCUAUGUCUUUUCCAAUCGUAUCCACAACCCUUAGUAUCUUUAGUAGAUAAUUUUACUGCUUUUAAUAUUUGUUAGUUAAUUAGUUAAAAAUAAAACUCUUAGUUUUUUUAACUUAGGAAUUGUUCAAGCUUGUCUUCUUAGUGAUACUGAACAAUUGUAGCUAAGCCUUAGUUCUCUGUGGGAUUCGACUCUGGAUUCUUAGACCGGAUUAUGAUUUGCAGAGACCGCUUAUCCUUUUUAGCACUAGAGUUUGGCGUGAUCAUAAUGUAUAAGAAUAUUUCUAUUCAACUUCCUCAAUUUACGAACUCUCAUGGCAUGAUCCAUCAGAAAUCUUUUCCGUACACCUCAGAACUAAGGUGGCUAAGGGGAAACAUAGAUUCACAUGGCUUCCUCAACCAUCCAACAUUAGGUUCUAGAAACCAUUUUAUUUAUGCAUCUACCUCCAUAUUUCCUUUCUCCUUUUUUUUUUUGGGAAACAUAUGCUUUUAAAACAUAAUCCCUAAGAAAGAUAAAAUAACUCCUUGUACUCUUUAAAGUAACCUCUACUACAUCGAUUCCACACCACUCUUCACUUAUUACCGAUGCAAGCACCUAAUCAUAUCCAACCCUGAACUACGUCCAACAGGUGCUAUGGAGUGUCCCUUCCAUGUAGUCGUUCAUUGUUAUUCAUUCACAAUGGUUUAAAAGCAAAAAGAGCAAAAAGCGACAAGGCCUAUUGGGUUCAAGCGAAUAUGGAAAAGGUUAAGUGCAUACUUGUUUAAAGUGAAACAUAAGUUUAACAAUAAUACAAGAAUCACCACACAAACUAAGCAUUUGGAUUUUGCAAAUAAUAUUUCAAUUUUGCUAAAUAUUUAAUCUUCAACUUAAAAUAGAGAAUUCGAAGUUGAAAAAACUAGUUUGAUGAGUAAUGGUUUUCACUCACAAAACUUCACUUAUCUUCAAGUGAAAAUUCAUGCUUGAACACAAUUUCAACUUCAAAAUACUCUUUUUUAACUUAGCUUCUAAUGUUCGUUUUAUCAACUUCAAUCAAAUAUUGUCAAAAUGGGGCAUUAGUACUUAUAAUGUCAAAUUGCAACUAAGUUAACUUACCUCAGGUCAAGAGUACAAUAAUGACAAUAUUAAUCCACUUAGUCAAAUUAAACAUCAUCGAAAUGUAAUUACAAUUAAGCCACAUAAGGUUAAAUUCCAUUUUCCAUCUAAUCACUCAUCAGGGGCGGCCUUUCCAUAAAGCAAGUAAAGCAACUGUUUUAGGCCUCAUAUUUGUGAGGGGCCCCAUUUUUUUGUUACACCUAAUAGACUAUGUAUAAAUUUAAAAAAGAGUUAAUUAUGUAAAGUGAAAAACUUUGAUUUCUUUCUUAAUCAAAUAUAGAGAAGAAGGAUUUGCAACUGCUAUGAUUUCUACCAAGGAAAUUGUAUUUGAAAUGGAUAUCGAACGCAAAUUUCGUAAGAAACGUAUGAUAUAUAGCAAGUAACAAUUUGAUGCGAAUGUUGAUAAUGAAAUCUCAAAAUCUUUCGAAGAGUCUUUUAGAGUUGAUUACUUUUAUACAUAAUAUGCAAGGUUAUUUUUUCAUUUCAAAAUAGAUUUGAACAAUUCGAAACAUAUGAAAAUAUUUUUAGUUUUGUAUUUGACNNNNNNNNNNNNNNNGAUUUAUUUUCUGAAUUAAAAGUAUUAAGAAAAUAAUACAAUUAGAAGAUAACAAUUUAAUUGAUACACUUAAUCAAAUAAAAAGAUUUAAUUCUUUUCUAAAUGCCUAAAUUGCUUAUGGAAUAGUGUCCAUAACUCAUGUUAUGGUCGCUUCAGCGGAAAGAAGUUUUCAAAAUUAAAAUUGAUAAAAUCUUACCUAAGAACAACAAUGUCACAAGAAAGGUCAAAUGAAUUAGCUAUAUUGUCAAUUGAGAAAUACUUAUUAGAAGUUAUUAAUUAUAAGAAAAUUAUUAAUAACUUUGUAUCUAAGAAAAGCUUAAAAAAAUAGACUUCAAAUAAAUAAUUUAAAAAAAUUAAAAAGUUAAGGCCCCGGGGUAAAGUUUGGCUUUAGGCCGCAACAUUUGUAGGGCCGCCCCUGUCACUCAUAAGUGCAGCAAAACAGAAAAAGCGUGAAGCUACCUCCAAAUUCAAAUGCAAUAGGUUGACAAAAUCAAACAUGAAUAAAAACAAGUAAAAGAAAAGGAAGAUACAAUACCAAUAUAGGAUUGAAUAGCUGUUUGGAGAGCAGAAAACUUUUUAUUGGAACACUCCUUGAGCAUUGAUUCCAAUGCUCGAGUUAUGAAACCUCCCGCAGCUCCACCAGUCAUUUUCUCUUUUUUUUUAUUGGUUUUCGCCUGACCUACAGAGAUCUUUAAUCAACGGGAUCAAUUUGAAAGCAUCAAUGCGAUCCUGUGGCACUCGAUCUGAAUAUCUACGAUGAAAGUGUUCUUCUUUUUAAAACAUUAGGACAGCAAAAGAGGAAUUGUUGAGAUCUCGUCGGGAAACCCAGAGAGAUCUGAAAAUGGAAGAAAGACUGGGAAGGGGGUUCAGAGUGCAGACCGUUCCACCACCUCCGGCUCCGGAUCUGUUUUAAGUGACAAAAAGGUGAAAACAAAUACUACCGUGUUUUUUACUCUCUUUAUCUUAUAUUUACAGGCCUGGCCAUCACUUGAUUAACCAAUUUGUAGGUUCAGCUCGGAUGUGGCAUAAUUAAUUGAUUUUUUAGGCGCAAAUUGCAAAUGUCGUCAUUUGAUUACUGCUAUUUAGACUUUAGAGAGUCAUCGAAAUUUACGGGAGAAAAUAAAAAAUAGCCACUUUUAACCAUUAUUAUUAGAGUUUAGUCAAUAUUAAAAAAGCUAUUAAUAUUUUGCCACUUUUUUCACACGGGAAAAAAUUGGGACAAAAAUAGCCCCAACCAAAACAUAGAAUAACUCUAGUAAUCGGUGUUGAAUUUCAAAAAUUAGACAAAUGAAACUCUAGUAGACUAUACUGGAGUUCAAAAAACCCUACAUGUUAAAUUGCAGCAUAUUAUAAUAGAGCUCAUGACUCUUAACAGGUGAAAAAAUAUACUAGAUUUUUGACUUUAAAACUGAAUUGACUUUCUUCAUAAUAUAAAAUGUGUGACCGAUGAUCUUUCUUGUAUUGAACAACAAGAAAGUUCUUCGACGAAUGAAUACAAUUUACAGUAGCUAGAUUUUCAAGUAAAACGUGAAGAAAACUCCAGCAUUGACGAAGGAAGUUAUGACAUCAUUGCUUGUUGCUUGUGUUAGCGAUGACUCCUUGCUUAUUCUUCUUUCAUUGCAAAAAGAUCCAGUGUGUUCUCCGAUUUGCUUUUCGAACUUUAGUACAUUUUUGAACCUACGGGAAUCUCUGACAGCGUGAGAUGCGUACACUAAAUCAAACUUUUUUGGUACGAAAAUGCACCUGAAGUAUGAGCACUCAAUUGUUGAACUACAACUGUAUUGGUGAAAUUCGGCCCCACCAUGUGGCACGUUAAAAUGAAGACAUAUGGAGGAUGAAGUUCUGAAGUUAGGAUAAGGACGCAUAGGAGCUAUGGUCGAAGCCACCCUUUUUAUUCUAAAGCAGAAGUAAUCGAAGGAACGAGCGCCCAAAGCAGGUCAAACAUACUUGAAGGCGCAGUCAACCGCACCCGGAUCCCACUAGAGAUCGUGGCUACCGACCUUUACGUCAAAGCGUUUCCCAUUAGCAAAGAUCUCGUUCUCCCACUAAUUGAACCCAUAAAAUGCUAACUUAAAGCUCGAAACAACAACGCUCCAUUCGACUAUAUAUAUCCUACUUAUAUCAUUUAUAAAGCUCAUCUGAAAGCAAUUACAAUACUACAAAAAAGGCCUUUGGCAGCAAUUAUUUAGCGGCAAUAAGGCAAUGAUCGCUAAUAAAUUCUUUAAGUUUAAAUAUUAGCGGCAUAUGACCAUUAGCCAGUAAAAGAUAUCCUUUUACCGGCAAUAAAAAAUAAUUGCCACUAAAAAAUUGCUAAUUUAAAUUAAUCUUUUAUUAUUUUAACUAUCCCUCCCCACCAAAAAGAGAAAAUAUUUCCCUCUAAUUUUUUGAUACAUUUUAUCGUUUUCCUCCCCAAUUAGAAAACAGUAGGACGAAAAAACUAACUCACUCCCCAGUUGAACGAAAAACAAUAAAACAUCGAAUCCUAAAUCACUGCUGAAAAAUCCUAACUCGUUGUUGCGUCAACGGUGUGUCAACGGCAGUGCGAGUGCGUCAACGGCAGCCCAUCUUUUUCCCAGGUAAAUUCUCUUCUCUUCGAUUUACAGUAGAAUCGAUUUAUAGUAGAAUCGAUUUCUAUCUUGAAUCGACUUCACUGCCGAAAAAACCUAACUCGCUACUGCUUCAACGGUAAUGUGAUUUACAAUGUGUCAACGACAGUACGAGUGUGUCAAUGGCAGCCUAUCUUUUUCCAGGUAAAUUCUCUUCUGUUCUCUUCGAUUUACAAUCGAUUUACAGUAGAAUCGAUUUACAAUAAAUUAACUUCUCUUCUUCCAAUCGAUUUACAGUAGAUUUUGUAUUGAUGUUGGUCGAUUGAUUUACAGUAAAUCAGUUCCCAACUCGUUGUUGCAUCAACAGCCUGCCGUAGUGCCCGUCCAUCUUCUUCCCUUGUUAACUUCUCUUUUUCCCCGGUUAAAUCAGUCGCUUGCAAUCGAUUUACAGUAAAUUUUGGAUUGAUUCUUGUCGAUUGAUUUACAAUAGAUUCUGUGUAUAUUAAUCUGGUAAAAGUCAUGUUAUUAUUUGGAUGUAGAAAAUCCUGAUUUAGGAAGUUUGUUUCGGCCGCUUAUCUCUUAUAUCUAAAUUUCUCUUAUGUUAUAAACCAAUUUUUGGGAAAGAAACUCAAAUAGUUGCCGAGGUUAAUGUUCUUGUACAUGGGAUUCGUGUUCUGAAUGAAACGAUAUAUGUAGCAUGGACAUAGAUUUUCAGAUCUUUUAAUAAGCAUGGACGCCCUUUGUUACUUUAAGAAUGACCUUCAAAUGGUGUAAAACAGGCCCUCGGCUAUUCAUAUAUUAGAUUGAACUUUGUUAAGUUCUUAGAUAAAGAAUAUAAAUAUAUAGAGUACCGCUGAGAUAUCUUUCUGAUUGCAAAAUCUAUCUAUUGUCAAGACUUAUUCUUUUCCAUGUUAAAGGUCCAUGUCAUGGGUGUGAGGUUUGCUAGAGCAACAGUUAUGAAUAAUCUAUAAAUUAGUGUACUAUUGAGUUAAAAGAAAUAGCAUUCUUGCAAUAAUUUUUAAAUGAUUAUGAACCUAUACUUAUCAAAACAUUUAAGGUUUUAGUUAGAGUAGUAGUACAGAAUUCCAUCCUUAAGAGAGAAUUUCAUUAAGCUAGUAACUAAAGUAAGGUACACAAGCUAUCGUAUUUUUGUUUCUUUUCUAUCAUGGUAAGAAAUGAUUGCUUAUUCUAAUUCAUACAAUGAUAUGAUAGACAUUGCAUCUUAGGAACUUAUAUUUGCUUAGGAAAAUUUGAUUUUAAGAGGUCAGGUUUGGGUGUAGAUUAUUAAAUAGGUUGUGAAUUUGUGAAAGUAUUGCUUUUUUGUGUGUUUGCUAAGUCGUUAGUGAUAUUUGUUUGUUGUUAGAUUGAUAAUCGAUUGAUUGAAUUGAUUCCUCUUAUGUUCUGAUGUUGUUUUAUAAAUUGGUUCCUCUGUAUAUUUCCUAUGGCUACUUUUCACCAUAUAAAAGCUCAAUCUCCAAUAGGACAUCUCAACCACAGUAGUUCAGUCGUUUGUUAAGAAAUAGCUUGGGCUGUUAGCAAUAGUCAGAAUCCUUCGACAGUCAGUACCCACUAGUUUGUUGGUAGUAAUAAUUAGAUUUCCAGUCUUAAAAAGUUGUAUAAUUUAUAAGUUUAAUAAUUCUUUUCUUAAAAAGUUUAUGAACCAAUUUGGUGAAAAUCGACAAGUUGUCUUUAGCUAGAUGUCUUUUUCAUAUUUACAUGUUUGUUCUAUGAUGACUAUGAUUUGCUUAUAAAUAGAAAAAUAUUACAUAUCGAUUCAGCCCCAUGUAUGUCACUGCAAUCAUUGUCGUAUAGUUAAAAAGUUCAUACCCUUUUAGGCUUUGCAUAAUUUGAUGAAAUUUUCAAGUUUAUUUACUUUGUCUCUUUCUUGUCAUGUUUGGUUUAAGUAAUCUUUUAUGGUCUUGGAUUUAGCUCUUGAGCUAACUUUUGAGAUUGAGUUAGGUCCAAGAUCCAUUUCACAUACAUCGUAUCGGAGCAUCUUCAGUUUUGGUGGCAAUUUACAUAACUUAUGCUACUAGCAGACGGCUUACACAAUCUGGUGCGCUGCUCUCCCCACGACCGUUCAAGGCAUUGCUCCUUCUCUCAGGAUAGUUCAGAUGCCGCUUCUUUCUCUGGUGCCUUUUCAGGCGUCACUCAUCUCUCUAGUGACUAUUUCUUACCUCUUGUGGUAUCUUUAAGAUUGAGUGGUGCCCAAGGCUCGGUUUACCUAACCGUUUGCAAAGUAGCACGGGAUUGGAAAAUUCUGCCCCUUCAACUAAUCCUGCAAUUCUAUGGUCUAUGGAUUCUAUCCACUAUCACCGAACUCGUACUUCUUAAAAUUGCUUUAUCUAGUUCCCACUAUUAACAAAGUCUUCAUUUAUCUGGUAUAUGAUUGAUUUUGUCCUUACAGUUACUGUGGAUCCUUAGAGCCAAUGCCAAUUCCAGGAGGUAAUAUUGGUCUUGCCCAUGCCUUAUUUGUAUCCAAGAACCGAAAAAUCCCUAAGAUACGGAUACAAACUCGUCAAUUGGGAAAUUUGCUGGAUAAGUGGAUUAUCAUUGCGGUUGAUUCAUGGGAUCGUUUGUCCCAAUAUCAACCCGGUCACUAUGUCAGGACAGUUGGAGAAAUAGGUGAUAGGGAUACUGAAAUAGAGGUAUGUGGUAAAAUGUCAUUCGUUCUCUUUAAAAUUAAACUGAUUAUCCUUCUCUACCUUUUCUGUCAUGUACUUUUGAGACUGUUUGUUGUUUCUCUAUUGUGGCUUUUUGUUGAAAACCUUCAAUUGCUAAGGGCGUUCUUGUCCUUUGCUUGUAGCUACCUUUAUAUUAUUUUACAUGCUUAAAUUAUUAGAAUUUUAUUUAUUUGUUGAUGUUGAUAAAUAAUAGUCAUGCCUAAAUUUGUUCUGUAAUCACUUUAGGUGGUAUUAAUAGAGAAUGAUAUAGAUGCUAGACCAUUUUCUGCUCAAGUGUUGGCAUGCUUGCCGCCGUUACCUUGGUUUGUAUCUCCUCAAGAUUUGACAAAUCCUAUUAGACAGGAUUUGCGUCAUCUACAUAUAUGUAGUGUGGAUCCUCCUGGUAUGUUUCCAAAUUUAACUGUGGUUUGCAUCUUCCAUUUAACUGUAGUGCCCGCAUUUAGUUUAUGUCAGUAUAGAUGAGAGGUACUUUCUACAUGUGAUAUCAAUCUAAGACAGAAUUUUGCUUUUUCGCGACGCAGGAUGCAGGGAUAUUGAUGAUGCAUUGCGCUGUAUGCCUCUUCCAAAUGGAAAUUUUGAAGUGGGAGUUCGUCAUGUUUGAUUUCGAGAUCUUUUGGUUACCAAUAUCAUCUUGUUAGAAGUCGUUGAUUGGAAUAGAAAAUUUCGAAAGAAUUAGGUUCAAAUACAUUUCCUGGGAUCCUUUUCCUUUCAAUCUAUAAACAUGAGAAUUGUUGAAGUAGCUCCGUGGCCCAUGUUACUGGGGUCAGAGAGUAAGCUGGCGAUGCUUUCGGCUACUGGAUUUUUGCCAUUUAGGAUGCAACAUCCGGGCUGCUUCGCCUAGCAACAUGACACUUAUUGCUCUCUUCUUCCUGCUUCAUCUAAUGAAUUGUCUUCACUAAUAGAAAGAUAGGAUUGUUUGCUUCAUAGUGUCGAUAUAUCAAAUAAAGGCCCCUGAAACUAUUUUUCGCCGCGUCUCAAUAUUGGAAUGGUGGAUAAUGAAUGAGUCUGUGUAUCUAGUCUUAAUCAAGUGAAAUGGUUGUCAAUUGGAUCUUUUUUUGACUUGAAUUUUCUUAAGAUGGUAGAAUCAGGCUGAUCAUGGUUUUGUUUAGCAUCUAUCCAUAGACAUGAUUGAGAAAUAUAUGGAAGGAAAGGUUAUUUGCCGUUUGUAGAUAAAUCUUUAUUUUCUGGUGGGCAUAAACAAAUAUUGUGCAGUCAUUAGUAUUUUGGAUUUACUUUGAGCCUAUCAAUAUUGGUCAAAUAUGUUAGUAUCAGCCAUUAGAGUCACCAGUUAAGAGCAAGCACUAUGGUGUUAACUGCUUCGUGAAAGUAGUCCUUAUUAUGCCAGCAAAUAAAUAUGCACAUGUACAUAUUUGUCCCUUUAACCAUUCAUAAAUUUAUACUGCAUUAGGUUGCAUGCAUGUGUCUUUCAACAUGUUUGCACAUAAAAUAUUGUAUUUUUCAUUAGUAAAGAGUUAAGUACUUAAAAGUUCACAUAAGAAAUCUUCCACUCAAUCUCAAAAGUAUCUAUGUUCUUUUAAAAGUUUCAUAUACGAUUGUCUUCUUAGUAUCUUUUCUACAUAAUUGUAGAUUAUUUUUGGGGGAGGGUGGUUGAGAUUUUAGUUAUUUCUCUUAAUAUUUCAUGUGCUGAGUGCUGAUGUUUUCUUCUAAUUUCGAUGCAAGGGAUUGAGUAGUCUCUUUGAUAGCAAUUUGUAUUGUCUUAUUCUUUUAACGGUAAAGAGAACACAUAAAGAGAACUUGAAGAAAUAAAUCAAGAAUCUUAAGAUACAAGGUUAUACCAAAAUACUUGGGUUGCUAAUGUGGAGGUCUCUGCAUAUGUUCUCUUUCCAGAUUUCUAGUCCAGAAAAAUAUCAUUGCAGAUGAUUCUUCUAAUGAGGUUAUACAAAGGUUAGAACAGAAGAUAAUCGAGUUAAAGGAGAAACAAAAUGAAGAAAUAAAUAUGAUGAAACAAAAUCAGGAGUGAUGCAAUCAGAAUUACUCCAAAUGAGAUAACUCAGGCGCAAAUAUGCUCCUGAUGCAUCUAUGCCUCAAAGUAGCAAUGACACCUCAGGUGAACAAGUAACUCCAUUUAAUAAGCUUUAGACAUUUUUAAUGAAAUUCUAAUUAUAUAAAAGUAUUUUUAUCUAACAUGUUAAUAUUUGUUAGAUCAUUAAUGCCAAUAGUGGACAUGAACGAGUGCCACAAACAUCAAAGAUGCCUAGUGUUGCUGAAAAUGCUCAACCUCCUCAUGGUACUACUCAUCUUUGUCCUUUCGUCGCUAUUAUUUGAGUUUUCUUCCUUCGAUUUUUAUUAAUUUGUUGUUGUAUUUAGGCUUACCUUGGAUGCUUCUUGCUUUUAUAUUUCCCUCAUUAUUGUUGAUGUCGCAAAGGUUGUGAGAAACUACCAUUUUCCCAACUAUACCAUCCGGUCGACUUAAUCGUUUUUCACGUAUCUUUCUUGCCAACUUGACUUACUACUUAAUUUCUUCCUAUUUGAACUAUAGAGCAUUAUUUUGCGAAUUUGUUUUGGUUAUAAUUUGAUGUACAUGUUUGGUUUCAACAAAUUAGACAAGAUUUUUGUAGGAAACUCCCGAGACAAUUGUUUUGAAGCUCUUUGCAGUACUUUGAUUUUUUCAAUAUGUGAUGACAUGACAGUAAAUUGGCUUACAUAACGUGUGUUCUGGUUCUGCUAGUUUUAACUAGAGUGCCUCAUGGAAAUAAUUACUACAGUUAUCAAUUGGAAUAGCUGGAAUUAGAAAAUCUUGUUAGUACAUUACUUGUAUUAGUACAUUACUGGAAUUAGGAAUUUGCCCAACACCUGAUGCAAUAACUACAGUAGCAUCUAAACGAGUUGCUUGCACAGCUAAUUCAAAUACCUUGACGUCAAAUACCUAGUAGCAACCCCUUCAUUCACUUUGCCAAUAGGUUUAACUGUGGAAGCUUGAAAUUAUGCAUUUGAAAUAUUGUUCUUACCUGAUAAUUCUAGCCCUUGUGCAUUCGUCUUUGAACCAUCUGAGUAUGCAAUUUUAUGUGGUGUUGGACUAUCCAAAAGUGCCCUAUCAUGGUCUGUGUGAUGACCCUCUAAAUUGAAUUCUGUGCUCCGAGGCCUUCAAAACCUCUUUUAGCAUCACCUCGAUUUGUGUGUGCAGUCCGGGCGCGUAGCCGGAUAGCUUAUAUGUGAAAAUUUAUGGAAAAUGAUAAAUUUUGACUAUAAAAUAAGUUAAUUUGACUUCGGUCAACGUUUUGGGUAAAAGGAUCCGGACUAGGAAAAUAUGGGACUUGAGCGUAUGCCCGGAAUCGAAUUCCGAGGUCCCAAGCCCGAGAAAUGAAUUUUUUAAAGGAAAUUAUUUUCUGAAAUUGUUUAAAGGAAUUUGAAAUUAAUUUUGAUUAGAACAUGUUGGUAUCGGGCCUGUAUUUUGCUUUUGGUGCCCGCUAUAGGUCUUAUAUGUGAUUUAAGAUAGCUCUGUUAAGUUUUGUAUGAAACGGAAUCCGUUUGACAUGAUUCGGACCGUAAAUACAAAGUUUGAUGCUUUAAGAAGUUUUGAAAUAUUUCAUCGAUUUUGAGGUUUAACUCGUUGUUAUUGAGGUUAUUUUGGCGAUUUGACGGCACGGAUAAGUUCGUACGAUGUUAUUGAGUUAGUACAUAUGUUUGGUUUUGAUCCCCGAGGGCUCGGGUGUGUUUCGGAAGGUUUUUGGAACUCAAAAGUUGCAAGUUUUUACUGUUCAGUGCCCAGGGAUGUUACUCUUCACGUUCGCGUGGUCCCUCUUGCGAGCGCAUAAGGCAAAUCUCCCAGGUGCCAGAUUUCUUCUUCGCGAACGUGAAGUUUGAGACGCGAACAUAAGGCUGAGGGGGGAAUACCCUUCGCGAACGCAUCCAUGCACUCGCGAACGCGUAAGGUUAAAGGCCUGGGGAGGGGUCACCAUUUUGUGCACCGCGAACGCGUAGGUUUGAGGAGCCAAAGCUCCGCGAACGCAAGCCGUCUUCCGCGAACACGAAGGUCUGUCAGACCUAACUCAUCGCGAACGCGAUGACCAAUUUCGCCCAGUUAUUUUAAAAGUCCAGAAACAGUAGCCAUUACGGGAUUUCUUCCAAAACUCAUAACUUCUUCAUCUAAACUCCAAAUUGGGCGAUUUUUGAAAGAGGAUUCCACCACCAAUUCAUAGGUAUAUAAUCUUAGACUCAUUUUCUUCAAUUUUCAUUAACACCCAUUAGAUUUCUAGGCUUAAAUCAUGUUCUUAAGGAUAGAAAAUUAGGGAUUUGGGUAGAGUUAGGGCUUUUUGAUUAUUUGUGAUUUGGACCUCGUUUUGGGGUCGAAUUUUAGAACUAAUUAUAUAUUCGGGCUCGUGGGUGAAUGAGUGAUCGGGUUUUGGUCUGAACCUCAUGUUUUGACCAAGCGGGCCCGAGGUUAAUUUUUGACUUUUUGGGAAGAAUGAUUAAAAAGCUAUAAUUAAGCAUUUGGAAUUGGAUUCUUAAUUGUUUAUUGAUGUUAUAAAGUCGAUUAUGUCUAGAUACAAUUGAUUUGGAGCCGAAUUCGAAAGGAAAAGUGGUGUUUGAGGCUUGAGUUGGCCGUGAAAGUUCGAGAUAAGUGUUUAGUCUAAUCUUAGCUUGAGGGAUUAGGAGUUGUGUCUAUUUGCUACGUGUUAAUUGUGUAGUACGAUGUAUAGGCAUGGUGACGAGUAUCUAUACGUCGGUGUCAAGCAUGCACGUGGGUUUUGUAUUAUAAAUUGUUAUGACUCCGUCGUGGUUUAUUGUGCCUCACAUGUUAUUAUCAUCAUUGUUCCCUUGCCGGGAUGUUUGUCUGAUAUUAUUGUUCCCUUGCCGGGAUAUUGUUGAGAUAUUAUUGUUCCCCUGCCGGAAUAUUGUUGAGAUAUUAUUGUUCCCUUGUCGGGAUAGUGUUGAGAUAUAAUUGUUCCCUUGCCAGGAUAUUUGUUUGAUAUUAUUGUUCCCUUGUCGGGAUUCCUUGCGGUUAUUAUUGGCUUGUAAAUGGGAGCGGGUGGUAUGCCUACCACAAGAUAUAAUGAAAUGGGAGCGGGUGGUACGCCUACCACAAGAUAUAAUGAAAUGGGAGCGGGUGGUACGCCUACCACAAGAUACAUGAAAGGGGAGCUGCCUGUCACGAGUUACAGGAAAUGGGAUCGGGUUUGCACACAUGUAAUAAGAUGUGAAAAUAAAGUGAAAUCUGCCUUUGCAUUCCUUAUUCUUGUUAGUGGUUGGAUUUUGAUUCUUUUAUAGUCCUCUUGAUAUUCUGUUUUACCUGCUAUUCCCCAAUGCAUGUUUCCCCCUCCCAUCUCUACUUGUUUAUUUCUGUAUUUUCUUUCCCGCUGUAUAUAUUUGAACUGCACAGGUUUAUCUGGAGUCUAGUCCUAGCCUCGUCACUACCUCGUCGGGGUUAGGCCAAGCACUUACCAGCAUAUGGGGUCGGUUGUGCUGAUGCUACACUCUGCACUCUGUGCAGAUACCGGAGCAGCAUUGGGACAGUAGCACUUGGGGAGCCAGCCUUCAGUCCAUCUAGAGAUCCCGAGGUAGUCCUGCAGGCGUCCGUAGGUUCGGCGUUCUCUUCUAUCCAAUUAUACGUUCUGUCCUCACUUGUUUCCGAGAUAGACUGUAUUUCCUUUUUCAGACAUUUAUAUGUAGUGCUCAUAGGCAGUCCGUGAAUAUUGUGACACCAGAUUCCGGGUAGAGGAGUAUAUUGGCAUUAUAGUACUGAUUUUGAUCAUUUGUAGUUGUUUAAGUCUUCCGCUUAUUCUGUUAUUGUUAAUCUUUAAAUUGUUGAUUACUUGUUAAUUCAAGUUGAUAAAAGGAUUAAAAUGAAAGACUUAGAAUUUCUAUAUUUCGUGGCUUGCCUAGCUUCUACGAGUAGGCGCCAUCACAACUCUCGAGUGUGGGAAAUCUGGGUCGUGACAAGUUGGUAUCAGAACUCUAGGUUACAUAGGUCUCACAAUUCACUGACAAGCUUAGUAGAGUCUGAGGGAUCGGUACAGAGACGUCUGUAUUUAUCCCCCAAAGGUUACACAGUUAGGAAAACUUUACAUUUGUUCUUUUUUGUCGUGCGGUUUUAUUUCUCAAUGCUAAUUGAAUUUCUACUUUGUUCUUUUGCAGAUGGAGAGAACACACGCUUCCUCAUCCACCGCUCAACAGCCCGAGCCCCCAACAACAGCUCCCACAAGGGGCAGAGGGCGAGGCCGAGGUAGGGGCAGAGUUCAACCCCGAGCAGUAGCAACAGUGGCGAAGCCUCAAGUUGACUUUAAUGAUGAGGUUCUGGCCCCAACAGUUUUGGUAGGCCCAGCUCAGGUUCUAGAGGGGUUUAUUGCCACCCCAGUUCUUUAGGAUGCUCUGGUCCAUCUAGUGGGCCUUAUGGAGAGUGUCACCCAAGCAGACAUGCUUCCUGUAGCACCAGCUAUCUCUCAGGCUGGAGGAGGAGCCCAAACUCCUGCUACUCGCACUCUGGAGCAGGUAGCUCCCCAGAUUCAGACUCCAGCGGUUCAACCAAUUAGAGUAGUUCAGCCGGGUGUGGUAGCUCAGACCGGUGAUGGAGAAGCUAUGUUUGCCGAUGCUUUGUGGAGGCAGGAUAGGUUCAUCAAGCUCUUCACUACCACUUUCAGCAGUGCAUCUACCGAGGAUCCUAGGAUUAUCUAGACAGCUGCCAUGAGGUUCUCAGAAACAUGAGGAUCGUUGAGACCAAUGGGGUCGAUUUUGCUAUAUUUUGCUUGUUUGGAUCUGCCAAGACUUGGUGGAGAGAUUAUUGCGUGGCUAGACCAGCCGGAUUGCCAGCCUUGACUUGGGAGCAGUUUACAUAGCUAUUUCUGGAGAAGUUUCUCCCCAUUGCUCAGAGAGAGGCCUAUCAGAGGUAGUUUGUCUCCAGCAAGGUUCUAUGACUCGUUACCCAGUAUGAGACCAGAUUCAUCGACGUUGGCUCGUCAUGCUCUUAUCAUACUUCCCACCGAGAGAGGGAGAGAGAGAGGGGGGGUGAGGAGGUUUAUUGAUGGUCUUAUUCAGUCGAUUCGUCUUCAAAUGGCUAGGGAGACUGGGGUGAGAUAUUUUUCCAGAAGGCGGCCAAUGUGGCCCGGAGAGUGGAGAUGGUUCUAUCAUAGGGAGGUGGUCAUGGAUCGGAUAAGAGGCCCCAUCAUUCAGGCAGAUUUAGUGGUACCUCGUCUAGAGGUAGGUAUUCGUAUGGUAGAGGCCCUCCUCCUAGGCCUUUUCAGUCGAUACUUCAGGUUUCUCACGGUGCUUCAGGUGGUUGUGGUCCUCAGAUGCAGUAUUCUGAUCAAUAGUCCUAUAGUGCACCACUAGCUCCUAUAGUGCACCCCCGCUUCAGAGUUUCGAGGAUCGUCAGCCCCAGUAGCCGAGGGCUUGUUUUACUUGUGGCGACACGAGGCACAUUGCUAGGUAUUACCCUCGAGCUUCGAGCAGUUCUCCGCAUCAGGAUUCCGGUGCUAUGGUUCAGGCACCAGGUGUUCCACAGGCCACCCAACUAGCCAAAGGUGGGGGUAGAGGUGUUAGAGGUAGAGGUAGAGGUGCUAGAGGUGGAGCUCAGACCGCUAGAAGUGGAGGCUAGCCAGCA